AGGUUGCUUUCCCUCAAUUGGGGAAUUUAAGACUGUCUGGAUUACACAAAGUGCAGCAUCUCUGGAAGGAAAAUGACGAAUCCAACAAAGCGUUUGCAAACUUGGAAAGGCUAGAAAUAUCGGAAUGUAGUAAGUUGCAAAAAUUAGUACCACCUUCGUGGCAUUUGGAAAAUCUUGAGGCUUUGAAAGUAUCGAAGUGUCACGGGUUGAUAAAUAUGUGGACGCUCUCAGCAUCUAAAAAUCUAGUGAAUCUCGGAAGAAUGAUGAUAGCUGAUUGCAAAAUGAUAGAAGAAAUCAUACAAUUGCAGGUUGGAGAAGAAGUGAAAGGCUGCAUUGUCUUCGAGAAAAUGAACUACUUGACACUUGAUUGUUUGCCAAGCCUAACAAGCUUUUGUUCGAGUAAUUACACUCUUCAAUUCCCAUUCUUGCAAAAAGUUGUUGUGAGACAGUGCCCAAAGAUGAAGAUUUUCUCUCAAGGAGUCAUAGACACACCAAAUCUAAACAAAGUGAAACUCACCGAAGAAAAAGAUGAUGAUGAUGAAGGAUGUUGGGAAGGCAACCUCAAUGCACCAUAAAAAAAUUGUUCAAUGAAAUGGUGAGUAUCAAUUAAGUUUUGGUGCUAUUUAGCAAAUUAUUUUAUAGAAACUAAUGUGAUAUAAUAUGAUUGGUUGACUGAAAAUAUAUAAUAAUAAUAAUAAAUAAAUAAAUAAAUUAUGAGGGCCAUGUAAUGUUUUUGUUUAACCAAUCAUAUUAUGUCGCAUUAGUUUAUAUAAUAUUGUUUGUGCACAAGAGGUGGUGGUCAUAUCAUUACUCUAGCUUUAUUAUUCUUAUGGUGGCAAUGUAUGCUUGCUUACACGAGUAAUUUACAAAAUCUGCAGAAUUCUAAAGAAGAGAUUGAGCCAGCCCUUGAGGUACAGUGAAGAAGCUAUCUCGAACCAGGCCAAUCUCUUAUACAUGAUUCAGCUUGCUCGUUCUUCUGUACUUGAAUAAUCUGGUUCUAAACGUAUUUACAAUUUUUUGGUCAUGCUACAGACUUGCAAGACACUUUGGAUUUUGUUUGAUGCAUUCUCCGUUUAAGGAAGCACUUGAAUUGAUGUUUCAUGUUUCAUGCAAUAUCCAAUUAGAUUCUGACUAAAUUUCUGUGUUAUUUAUUCAAUUGGUCUUUUAAGCAUUUGAUUUCUAACCUGUCCUAAUAGAAGAUCAUUAUCUGAAGAAAACAGCAUAACAUUUGUGGCAUUAUGAGAAUAAGAAUUUUUUUGAGUAUAGUAAAAUUAUCUCGACCAUUGUUAAAAAGAAUUAAUCCGUCAAACUGACCUUCUCAGACCAGCACGCUUUAAAUUAAAAGAAUUUUGUGAAAGUCUAGACCAUGUUAUAGAUCUCGUGGAAAUAAGAAAACCCGUAAUUUUUUUCACAGCAUCAUAAGAAAAAAUCAUUUUUUUUUUAGUAUUUUUGUUAGCUGUUGAGUUUUAAUAGUAGUAGCUAUUAAACAAGAACAAUAUGUGUAUAUUAAAAAGUUGGAAACUGGUUGAUAGCACUUGGGAGUCGAGCAGUUCACUUGUUUGCGAGUAGAAACCAACUUUACUACUAAUUACACUCAUACAAAAAAUAGUAACUAAAGAAUCAGGAAAUUUCCUAUUCACUAUUCUUCAUUUUUUAAUGCAAAAUUCCCAUUCGAAAACACCAAUGACUUUCAUUCAAAGUAAAUGAGAAAUUACAAUGAAAAUAGAAUCAAAAUACAUGUAUGUAUACCUAAAACAAAUGAUUUUUUAAUUUAAAAAAAAAAAAACCCGGUUGAGGUGAAAUGAAACCAGAGUCAUGAUAUCUCUGGUUCCAACUUUGGGACAACAGCAGACUUGAGUUCUAUAUGAGAAACACGUACAGCACCAAUCAGCCGCUCCAGUAAUUCAUCUGUAGUAUUUGCCUGCAUACAAAAGAGCAAGAUAAAGAAGACACACACGAAGCAUUAUACCAUUCUGAGAACAUUCAAGUAUGCAAAAAUGCAAUUUAAAAUGCAAAUUGCAGUGCAAUAUCUCAAAAUCAUGUCUUUUCCCUUGUGUCCAUUUAGAAGUGGGGGAAAAAAACAAUCAUACAUACCUGUACAAGGAAAGCCAUGUCAACCACCAAUGUCGUAAUUACACCAAUUACAAGGCCCAAAACUCCAUUAGCAACAGUAGAAGAACCGAUGUCAACAUUAAUCUACAGAAAGAUGAACAAUGUUAAACCAUGUUAAUGGUAUCGGACGCUAUUUGAAAGGGGAACAAUUCAUCUGUAGUUACAAUCAACCGCUUUCACUAAUGAACAAGGGGUGCUUCCAACACUCUUGGCGCACGAUCCAUGACCCCUGCAUGAUUCAGUGCUUAAAAUCAAGAACAAGUGCAAAACAAAUUCAAGAGGGUAAAAUGGACAUGAAGUUUGAAGGUACAACCCAUCAAUACAUUUACACCUAAAUGCAUGCCUUCUUUGGACAAAUUGAAGUGUACCAUGCAGUAAAGGGUUAGUAUACGUUAAUAUAGUCCUAAUACAUGAAGGCCAAGAUGGAUACCUUAGGAACAGAUGGAAUCAGUUUCAACCUACUAUUGCGAAACUCAUCAUCGCCAUCAACAAACCGUUGCAAAAGUGAUCCCAUAACCAAUUGCCUUGCGACUAAAUAAAAUACCAUACUAUAAUGUGUUGAUCCAGGAACCUGCAGAUGCUUAGGUUACAACUAUACAACCUCCCAAUACAAUAAGUUUGAAACUUAAUACCUUCUGAAAUGAAACAAACUUACUUGAAGAUUAAAGAUCAGCGAGAAAAGCCCUUUUUCAGAAGCAACCUACAUUUUUUAGAAGAGGGUCAGUGUGUUAUAGAUUCAAUGAACCAUGAGAAGUUAUUUACAUUGUAGUAUCUCACAGGCAGUAUUUUCUCCUAAUGCAUCAAUGGAAAAGGAAAAAUAAAAAGAAAAGAAUAGUUACUUGUGCAGCACAGCCUUGACGCCUAGCUACAUGGUCCAUUCUCUUUGUGUCUUUGAACCAAUCAACAGCAACAAGAUCCAUUAAAUGUUUUCCCGCAGGUAUCUGCAGUUACAAAUUGCACAAAGCACAAGAAGAGCCAACCAAACUACAUCAUAACCUGUCUACCUAGCCUAUGCAGGAUAUAUAAAUACCAUAACAAACAAACAAAAUAUGGGGGAACCUUUGUUUUGUCAUAACAAAAAUGCUUGCUACGAACUCUAAAGUUAUUUCCAUCAGAAAGUUUCCAGCAGUCACGAGCAUUAUCACAGUCAUCGUGUCGUAGAUUGCCCGAAAAACAAGACAAAUCAAUUUGAUCAGCCUGCUCUUCCUCUAGGGCUGCAACUAAUUGAAAUUUUUUUUUAAAAAAAAAAGAUCAAUACCAUAAAAAUCCACUAGCCAAAUAUACAAAAAUGAAUACUUAUCAUCCACCUGUCCUCUUGAAAUCAUUCUCAAUCUUUUUUUCAUUUGCCUGAAAUCCCAAGGAAAAAUAUGUAACUAAUACUUCCCAUUCAUGAAUAUUGUCUAUCGUAUAAACAUGACAUUUUUAAUUGGAAUAAUAAAAUUAUUUAAUUAUUUUAAUUAAAUGUUAAUCCUACAAAUUAUUUUUGUUAAAUCUAGCAAGAAUAACUAAAAUUUCUUUAAGAUAUAUUUUGGUGGUAAAUUAAAAAAAAAUUAAUUAUUUGGCGGGAAUUAUUGAAAUUGGAGCCAUUUUUUUUGUGGGAAUUGAAAUAUAUUCUUUAAAUUAUUACAUAAAUAGCAAAAUGUACAUACACACACAUACAUAUAAUUCAUAUAUAAAAAUUCUCUAAUUUGUUCACAAGUACCAUAGAUUAUAAUUCAGUUAUGAAAUAAAAUAACUACAAUAAUUAUAGUUAAAUGAAUACUUCAUUAAUUCUUAAUUUGCUUCCUAACAUUAAAUGAACAACUUGAGUCAGCCACCUGAAUUAACCAGUAACAAUGCCUGAGUCAACUAUCUGAAUAAACCAGCAACCCUAGCUGAUUCCAGCACCUGCAAUUAACAUCAGCACAACAGGAACAAUCUUAAAUCAACACCAAGAACAGACCAAACUGCCAUCAAAUGUCACAAAACCAAACAGUCUGCUACUGCCAUCAAAUGCAAGCAAACAUAUGCAACAAAACCAGAUGCAAGUGAAAUUCUGGAGAAUAUCGGAUAAACCAAACCAAAUAACACACUUCUAGUAAUUAGACUAGAUGCAGUGUUCAAUUAAACUAAAUGUAGUCUCAUAUUACAUUCAAAAUUUCUAAAAGAAGCAGUGUUCCAUCAGAGAAGCACCAAAACCAAACCAAUCUAAUCCAGCAUAAUUACCAGCUCAACCCAAAACAAUUACACAUUAUAUUGACAUAUCAAAAUUCGCUAUCAAAACAUAGCCAAAUAAAUGAAAAUAAACUCAAAACAGACCCAAACCAACUGAUGUUGCGGCCCUAGUAGUCGUUGUCCGUUCCACUGCCAUGGGAGCGAGGGUAGGCUCCGUUGUCGAUGAGUGAGUAAGAUAAGGCUCCAAAUCAAUAGUUCCACCUCCUUUCUGCAAUUCAAAAAACAGAAAUUCAUAUAUGUAAAACUAUUAAAAAGUGUGAAACAACCUGUAAGUAUUCAACUUCUGUCAACUCAAUAGCACUUACUAAAGUUUUUAUACAGAAGAAAAAGGCAUUUUAAGUCCAAAAAAUUAGAAUUAUUGGUUGAACUCCAACUCCAUCAAUCCAUGCAACCAUCCAAUCUUUAACGAAAAAUGAAGCAUAAUUAACCAGACAUCUGAAUCAGAAAGAUUGUGCUUUCAUUUGGCACGAGGUGUUGGAAACAACUUAACAAAUCUAGACACAAUCUAUAACCAUCAUGUCCAAACAAAAGUCAGGAUCUAAAAUACUUUGAAAAAUCAGAAAAACAGUUUCAAUUUCUUUUUCAUCCAUUGUAAGCUCAAACUAAAGGUAGCCACGAUACCUUUAAACAUCAUUUGGGCUUAUACAUGCGACAUUUGCUCAUGAACAACUAAAGUUGAAUAAGAUUUUUAUAUGAAACAGAAUACAAAAGUCAAAGUAGAAUAUGACAGGAGCUACAAUAUAUUAUUCAGCAUCAGCAUUAUGUAUAAAAUAAAUUUAGAGGCAUUAUAUUCAUUCACAAUCUUGCAGAGGUAACACCAGAUUAUGGCACGCAUCUCUUGAAUAGCAGAUAAAGGAGGAGAUGCAGUGGGAAGGUAGUAACUUGCUUGCAUGAGAACUAGAAAGUAAUAUCCCAAGAUCAAUUAUAGAUCUCAUAAAACAAAAACAGUGAGGCAAACACAAUUAUACAAUCCAUCUGUCAAAAGGCUAAGCAAAUGAAUAUACAAUCAACACCAUUCUUCCAAACGAAUAUACAGUCAACACCAUUCUUCUAAACACAAACAAAGUUUGAACGUAUGACAGAUUUUUAGCCCUUUAAUAUUCCAUCAAAGAUAAUUAGAUAACACCUACCAAGGAUUUUUGAAAAGAAUGCAUUCUCAUCUUAAGCAGCAACCUCACCAGUAACACAUUUUCAUACCCUGUUUCCACCUCUGGUCGCACCACCAAAAAAAUUCAGUACUAAUUAGCUUCAACAGAAUCUAUUUUUUAAUUUCCUUUUUUUUUUUUCAAAAUAAACCUCCAUUCUUAUACAUAAAAUUAAAAUAUCAAUUAAAUAAACAAAGUCUAUGCUUACUAGUAAAACACGUCCAUUUUUAGGUAGAGGCAGAUAAUAAAAGAAAAUUGAAACUGAGAUAAAAUAAGAAGAGCUUACUAGGUGCAUUUGAUCAACAAUCCAAUCCUCAACGAUGGAAUCGAUGCCAUCAAAUAAACAUGACUUAAUCUUGAAACCACAAACUGCACUAAGCAUAGCACCAAAGCCAGAGCGUGACUAUAAAGAAGAAGAAAAAAGAAGGCAAAGAAGAAUUAAAUUAACAUGAAAUUCAACUGGAACAAUACAAAAUAUGAAAUUUUUAGCAAAUCUUACUAGCGUUAGGGUUAAGGCUUACCAUAGGGAACUGGAUGGCGCUAACUAAAUGACAAGUUGAAACGGCAUCUGCAAUCGUAUUGAAUGACAUUGAACCGCGAGGUAGGGUUUAAAUGAAUACCGAGCAGAGAUAAAUUGGUGUGGUGAAUUAGGGUUUUGUGGCUACGUUUUAUUUCGAUUGAAAAAAGGAAUUUGAGCUUUUGCUUUAAUACAACGGUGUCGUUAAUUUAAACAUUCAUUUUAGGUUGCAGUGGCCAGUGGAGAGAGGGGGAUUCAUUCAACGCUUAGCCAAAAUUUGGCUGUAAGUGUUGAUGUGUUUUAAGUUAUACAGAACGGUGUCGUUAAUUUAAACAAUACUGUUUUACAAUCUUAUAAGAUCACAAAACCUAAGCAUGACUUAUAUGUAUCAUUUAUUUAGGACGGUUAAGUUAUAAGUCAUGAAUAUGUCAUAUAUUCUGGACAUAUGAAUAUAUAUUAUGAAUCUAUUAUAUUUUUAUGACACAUUCGUGACACAAUGAUAUAUGUCAUCAAAUUUAUGUCAUUAUUUAAUAUUUUUCUAGUGGUGUCAGAUUUUUGAAACAUUUUUGUUAAUAGCAAAAACUCUAAUCCUUUAGCAAAAGACUAAAAAUUAAAAAAAAAAUCUGUUUAAAUAUCAGUUGGCUCAUGAUCAACACUUCAAUACUGUUUGUUGUAUUUUCUUUCUUUCUUUCUUUGUCAUUUUAUUAGAUUUUUUUUGUAUCAUAGUUUGUUUUGCUUAAGUAAUUGUUCAUUGUUUAUGUCUGUGUUCUUACUAACAGAGUAAAAGAUUUUGAGAGAAUGAAUUGCACCCUUUUCCAUUGAUUGUAAGACUUUUAUAUGCAGCAAUAUAUAUAACAACUGUGCCUAUUUUAAAGAGAUAAGAUAACAGAAAGAUAUACUUUACAUUUGAAUUAGUUUGAAUGAGUAAACUAGAUAGGUCCCAUAUUCUAAGAGGAGAAUCUGCUGACACUUACUGGCUUUUGAUAAUUUAUGGUUGGUUUUUUAUUCAGACCCUCGAAGUACCUUUUUGUUAAUAUUAAAACCUCUGAUCCUUAAGAAAGAAAAAGAAAUUCUCUAUUUAGUUAUUAGUUAGUUCAAGAUCAAUAUAGCGAUAUUGUUUGUGGUCUUUUCAUUCUCUAUCUUUCCCUCUAGUUCAUUUUAAUUUAUUUGUAUUCCUUUCUUUGACACUUGUAUUUAUAUAUAUAUAUUGUUAAGCAACAGGCAAUGGCUGUUGAAGGGUGUCUCCCUGCUUUUUCCAGCAUUGUAUCACAAGGUUCAAAAGCAUUAUUCGAACCGAUUAUGCGGCACAUAUCUUAUGUGUUCGAUUACCAAAGCUACAUAGAUGGGCUAAAAGAUUGAGUGAAGGAGCUGGAAUAUAUAAGAGAAAGGGUGCAAACGCUGGUUAGAGAGGCUACUCUACAAGGAGAUGAGAUUUAUAAGGGUGUCUGAGACUGGCUAAAUAGAGUUGCUGAAUUCAGUGAAGGGGUUGCAAAAUCCAUCAUUGAUGAUAAAGAUAGAGCUAAGAUAGAGCUAAGACUGAGCAUGAUUGCAAAUGCACGAUUGCAAAUGCAUUGGAUCAAUUAAGAAGUUCCAAUCUAGGAGAAAUUCAAGGAAUGCGUGCAGAUGUAUAAACCUCCAUAAAAUUGUUACGACUUGAAGGAUUGUAUAUAAGCAUUAAAUUGAUCUAAUUUAAUUUGUAUGUAAACAUUAAAUUGUAUAUAAAUACACAGAACAGAACCAUAUCAGUGUUGGAAAAAAAAAAAAAGAAUCCAGAGUUAUAUAAAUUCAAUUAAAAAUUACUGAAUUUUUUAUUACUAACUUUGAACACUCUAAUUUCAAUAAAAAAAUUAUAUUACUAAAAUAGUCUUAAUUGAAUUUACUAUUAAAGACAUUAGAAUAACUCAACACUAAUAUUCUAAAAUAUAUUUCUCUCCAUAGUCUAAUCUAAUCCAUUCUAAGAAUCCUAUAGAAAAUAUAUUAUUUACUUUUUCCUUAUUAAACACAAAAACAUGUCAUUUUGUUGCUAACUAAAAUUUUGGAACUAACAACAUCAGAUUAACAAAAUUAUCAGAAAAAGAAAUCAAACAAGAUUUUAAUUGUCGUCAUCUUCACUCUUGUCUUUUUCUUUUUCUUCACACAUGUGGCUUGCACACGCAUUCCCCUCUCUCAUCCUUAGGGCCGCCCUUCAACAAUAUCCAAUCAUCGAUUAUAAUUAUUUAGAUUGACCAAAUCAAGCAUUGAUCAUAUAUUGGUUGAGGUUAGAAAUAGGCAGGCAGCAGCAAUAAUACUACUAAUUAAUAUCUCAUGAGAAUUUUAAAGAAAAAUCUAACGUUGUCAAAUUCGUUUGAUUUCAAUGAAGUCUUUCUCCUACUUAUACUUUCACAUAUUCUCUUUUAUUUCCAAAGUUAAGGUUAUGGAUGUUGUAGAGUAAAAAGAUGAACAUUGCUAGGAAAGCAAUAAAAGGAAAUAAAUAAAAAUUAAAAAUAUAAAAAGAGUUAAGUCAUUUUUUUUUCUAUUAGUGUUUUUGUAUUUAAUAACGAAAGAUAAAAAUAAAGUAGAUAUUAUCUAUUGGAUUAUUAAAAUAACACAGGUAUAACACAUGUCAAAAUCUCGUUAUUAUAAUAUUAGAAAAGAUUAAAUUAGGAGAAUAUUCAAAUCGGCGAAAUAAUUAAUAAAUCGUAUUUAUUAAUCAUCCACCCAAUUCAUGCAUACCCAAAUGGCCGUCAACGAGCUAACCAAAUCCCAGCUUGUUGUAAUCUGGGUUGGGCUUUUUGGGCGAUAAUUAACUGCCCGAGCUGCUCAUCUACCCCAAUAGAGCCUAACAAAAAUUUUCGCCUAAGCUUCACAAAAAUGUUCAUAAAUCUUUUUUUUUUUGGUAUCAUAAAAACAUAAAUUUAUUUCAAACACUUUUGGAGCUUAAUAAAAAUUUCCCAACAUUUCAUCUGACAAAGGUAGUUUAAAAGUGUAUUCGUUAAAUUCUAAAAUACAUACUUAAAAUCUUUUAGUGACAAUCUAAUUAUAAAUUAAGGAUCUAUUUGGGAUUGAGAUUGAACAGUUAAAAUGUUAUAGUUGUUGUAGUUUAGAAGUUAAGAUGAUUUGAUUUUACACUUAUAUGAUAAAAAAUUUAUUAUAUCUUUUCUAAUUUUAUCAAAAUUAUUAUUAAAAAAUUAUAUUUAUUAUAUACUAUUAACUUUUAUUUUAUACUUAAAACUUUUUUUUCUUACGGCAAAAGUUUUAGCACCUCAAUACCCAACCAAGUCUAAAACUGCACAAUAAUAAUUAUGAGUGCGAAUGUUAAAAUCUACACACAUUCGUACUUGAUAAUUUCAAUCAACAGUGUUACAAACUUAAUUAAAAUAUUAUAUCUGAAAUUAUUGAGGGGAAAAAAAAGAAAAAGAAUGUUGUUUUCAUGAUAGUGACAUGUGUCGUGCACAUUUUGCUGUUGGCUCUUUGGUCUCUAACCUAGCGAAUAGGUUGUUGUGUCCUCGUUGUUAGAUGCCCGAACAGCAGCGCAAGAACUUUGUACUAUACCAUAUAUUUUAUGAAGGUGGUGAUGUUACAAAUAAAGACGAGUAAUAAACCAAACGGCGUCGCUUUGCUAGCCUGUUAGAACUAUCAACGCGCUCUGCCGCCCUCUCGUUCCAUUUAUUCAUUUAACCCGGUCAGGGGAUUGGCGAAUUAAAUAAACAACAACAGUCGUCCGAUCCACACAGAUCGCCACUCAUAUUUAAUCCAACGGCUGGGAUAUGAACCCCUCUAUAACUUUUAUUUGUCGAAUCAGCCGCUCUCUCUAUUUAAAUUAAUUUUUUUUUCAACAGCCGACGAGUGCUGACGUAUCAGAGACGCCCCAUCAAUCAAUAAAAAAAUCAAUUGAAAAGGACGGUAUAGUGAGUGGAAGAGAAAUGCCAAUGGCAGAUCAAGGGAUGAAGAUACGAGCUCACUUGCAACGAGGUAUAGUUCAUCAUGGCUUUCCUAUAAGUUCAGGUCCUUAUGAAUACUUUCAAUGAUCUUAUUAGUCAGAAAUUCAACAAUAAUUUUUACUUUUUACAUCCAGGAACAGUUUUAAGCACAAGCAACUCAGGUGGUCAAUAGGCCUCAUAUGUUAGCAAGGUCUCCGUUUUGGUCACUUAAGUCCCAUAUGUUAGGAAGACUCCCUUUUUAUUUUUGGUAUUACUUAUAAUAGCAAAUCCUCUUUUUUAGGCCUCUUUUUAUUUAGUAAUUAUCUUAUAAUGAAGAAUUUUGUUACACAUUUUAUAUUUGAUAACCUUAAUAUUAAAGAUCUCUAAUUGAUAGUAUUAUCUAAUUGUUAAUUUAUUAUUAGUUUUUCCAAAAAAAAUAAAUUCUUUAUCUAUUUAAAAAGGUUAAUUAAUUAACAUUAUAAAAAAUUUUGUGAUAUUCUCUACACAGAAAAUUAUUACAUUUAUUACUUCACUUCUGAAUUAAAAAAAAAAGAUUUAUUGAAAUAAUAGUUCUAGAGGAGGUAAAAAAGAUAUCUUCUUGAUUAUUUUUCUUUUUUGAACAUUUUAACUAUCUUGUUGAUUGUUAAUAUUCACGAUAUAGUUAAAAAUUGAUUGAAUUCUAAGCUCUUUUAUGUUUCUUUAGGUGUUGAAGCUGCUGAAUGUAGGGAGCCCUCGUAAAACAAUUCCCAUAAUGCCCCUAAUACUCUAAGGUCGACCCUGUGUAUAUCAUAUUAUUGAAAAAAAAUUGCUUCAAUACAGUAUGUGGUAAGGUUUAAUUUUAUAUGAAUUUAAGCUGAAGUUGGUACCUUUUAUUGUUUAAUACCGUGACAUCAGGGAAAUUUUUAAUAGGUCUUCAUUUUAGGCUAAAGUACCCGAACAAUACUUCCCAUGCACUUUGUGAUCUUAUUACAAAAUCUUAAACUAAAUAGCUGUGGAAGUAACAAAGAGGGCAACUUUUUACUAUAAUGUGAUGAAAAUAAUUCAUUUGUCAUCACGAACUAACCAAAUCAAAACAAAAAACUAAUGAUCAUAUGGUUCAAAUCUGUGCAACAAUGGUGCAUUUAAAAGGAAAUAAUGUACAGAUAAAAUUUGUGCUUGUAACAAGAACUCUUCUCUUCAAGCCAACAAUUCCACCUAGCAGAGAGAAGUGUUUUAGGCGACACUUUCCAACUAAUGAAAGCAGUGAGCUCUCAAACUCUGUUAUCAUUUUCUACUACUUGAAAAAGAGAGAAAGAGAAACGAGAGGAAAAACAUGGCUCCUCUGUUUUCAUUUUGGUGAUUGCAAAUAACAUUUUUUUUUUACUUUUACUCUUUAUUUAUUUAAUUUUAAAAAAAAAACUUUUAGCUCAUUAGAUCUUGUUCUUGUUAAUGCUUCUAGUAACUUAUAUGAUGAUCUGAUCAUAUCCGUAAAAUUAACAUACCCAUAAUCCAUUAUUUUAUAAUUAUAAAACUUGAAAAUUCGGUCAUGCAAUUUUGUAUGAUGAACAGUGUGUUCAUUUUUUCUGUGAAACAUAAGAACAAUUUGUAAAUAAUGUCCAUGCGGACCUUGUAAUAGCGAAGCAUCAUUAUUGAUCUUACUUUGAUGAUCGCACUUUAGUUUCUUUUUAAAGUGCCUUUUGUUUAUUUUAUCGGCAUCCGCUUUUACAAAAGUUUUGGUCCUCGUUCAUUCAUCAAAGCUUCUACUUUUAUCUUUUAUUAGGCAUCUUAUAAAAAGCUUAAUUUAAUUGGAAUCAUGUUCGGUAUGAAGAUUGUUUUACUUACUUCAGCAAUCUUUCAAUCAACCGAAUUUAUUCUUUUCUGAUCUGGAAAUUAUUCAUGAAAAAAUAGGCGCGUCAGUAGGACAACAGGGACCAAGUACAUAAUAUGAAAAUUCAUUUGUAUUGCUUACUCUAAUAAGCUCUUAACUCACACAUUCCUCUGCAGUUACCAGUGAUCUUUUGCUCACUAAAAUUGUUAUUAUAUAUUCAAGGUGAAUAAAGAAACUCAUCAUCCCAGAUAAUUAAAGAGGUGAACUUGUUCUAAAUCCUUUAAUAAUUUCUAUUAAUAAUAGCAUAUAUAAUCUCUAAUCCUUGAUCUUGGUAGUAGUUCUUUCUUAAUGUCCAAGAAAAAUAUCUCUCAUUUGUCUUAAUCUUGUCAGUUAAUUUUCUUGAAUUCUGAGUUAGUGUUUAUUGUUAAAUUCGGUUUUCGGUUAGUAGCCAUUGGUUAAUAGCUUCGGUUAAUCCUUGAAUUAAACAUAUUAAAAUCUAAUCAUAAACCCGCCUUUCCCUAUUUUACAACACCCUUUAUGUAAUAGUGACUUCAAAAGUGUAACAUAUUUUGAACAAUUGCAAGGAAAGAACAUAUUUGACACUUCACGAAACGGCUAAGAUAUAAGCUUCAAUUCUUGUACAACAAAUUAAUAUAACCAACUUCAACCGUCAAUUGAUCAAUAAUUCAGUAACAAAAAGGGACAGAUAUCCUAGUCUUUCUUUACUAAUGAAGCAAGCCAUUAAACUUCGAAAGCUAUUUCUAUUUCCACAUUCUUCAUGUACCAAAGCAGGAAAAAUAAAAAAAAAAAGCAACAAAAAUUUGGAAGUAAUCGUCUUUAUUCAGCAGCAUGCAUAUUAAUUAAACAUAUUAAAAAAGAGAUAUACAAUAUCAGGUCUGGAGACGAAAUGAGCCCACAGAGACUACCAAUAAUGUAACGGCUUGAUUAAAAAUAUUAAUCAAGCCACUACAUUAGAAGAACAAGAGUUAAUCAUGCAUAGUAAUUAAAAAUAUUUUUGCUAUCAUCCACCUGUUCUCUCUAAAUAGUUGUCCCUUUUUUUUUUCUUUUGCCUGAAAUUCCAAGCAAAAAUAUAAUUAGAAGAUCAAGAGUUAAGGGUUAAAAAAAUGGAAAAAGAGGGCUCCUCUGUUUUCAUUCCCCUGUUUUUCUGUUCGGUGAUUACAAAGAUUUAAAUCAAAAUUUAUGAUGCAGGCUACACGGCACCUGGUGGAAGACUGCUAGGGUUUACCUUUUAUUCUUAGUUAGAAAUUUAAUUUAGAAUUUGUAGUGUGCGCCUUAUAUAAGUAGGUUUCCUAAUAGUAAAAUUAAAUAAUCAACUUUAUGAUGCACUAGGAUAUGGUUGUGAUAAAUGAGCUUUUUAUGUAUCCUGUGAGGCUGAUUAUUAUUUUAUUACAUUGAAGAUUCAGUUAUCUCUUGGUAGUCUUGUGACUCAAGCGGAUUUAGUUAGUAGUAGGUAAUACUCUGGACUUCACAUACUAAACGGAAUGGAGCAUUAUUUUAUCCCGCUAAAUCAGUUUUUUUUUUUUUUAAUUAAAAAAUAAUUCAUCAAACACUUUAUAGCUCUGGUUUUAACUUGGUAAACACUUUAAGCCGCAACUUUAAAUUCAGUUUACGAGAACUCCUAACAGUCACUGUGGCUUGGGUAGAAAUGAAUAUACUAGCAUAAGUAAUGCUACCCAGGAAAUGUAGUUGAACCUAACCAAACUAAAACCAGAUGAUGAAAGCUUAUAUACACCAAGAGAUUUAUUCGUUUCUGAGUUUGUUUCCAGAAACCCGGAACCUCCCCUGUUUCUACAAACACGGCACCUUUGUUUUCAUUCCCCUGUUUUUCCAUUUGGUGAUUGUAAAAAUCUAAAUCUAAAUCUAAAUUUUUGAUGCAGUCUACACGGCACCUGCUAGAUGAUUGUUUGGGUUUAUCUUUUAUUCUUAAUUAUGAAUUUAAUUUAGAUUCGUAGUGUGCGCCUUAUGAAAGAUUAAAUAGAAUAAUGUGAAAAAAGAAAGAAUGCCUUUCUUAAUUUUGACUUCAUAAUGUUGCAGUAACCGUCCUCUCUUAUCAUUCCCCUGUUCUUUGGUUUGGUGAUUGCAAAUAACAUUCUUUGCAUCUACUCUUUAUUUAUUUAUUUUUUUAAUUUUUAGCUCAUUAAUUCUUGUUCUUCUUAAAGUGUUUAGUAAAUUAUAUGAUCACCUGAUCAAAUCCCUCACAUUAACUCUAAUCCUUUUAGAAAAGACUAAAAAUUAAAAAAAAUAUGUUUAAAUAUCAGUUGGCUCAUGAUCAACACUUCAAUACUGUUUGUUGUAUUUUCUUUCUUUCUUUGUUUGUCAUUUUAUUAGAUUUGUUUUGUAUCAUGGUCUGUUUUGCUUAAGUAAUUGUUCAUUGUUUACGUCUGUGUUCUUACUAGCUUUUGAUAAUUUAUAGUUGGUUUUUUAUUCAGACCUCGAAGUACCUUUCUGUUAAUAGCAAAACCUCUGAUCCUUAAGAAAGAAAAAGAAAUUCUCUAUUUAGUUAUUAGUUGGUUCAAGAUCAAUAUAGCGAUAUUGUUUGCGGUCUUUUCAUUCUCUAUCUUUCCCUCUAGUUCAUUUUAAUUUAUUUGUAUUCCUUUCUUUGACACUUGUAUUUAUAUAUAUAUAUUGUUAAGCAAUAGGCAAUGGCUGCAGAAGGGUGUCUCCCUGCUUUUUCCAGCAUUGUAUCACAAGGUUCAAAAGCAUUAUUCGAACAGAUUAUGCGGCACAUAAAUUAUGUGUUCGAGUACCAGAGCUACAUAGAUGGGCUAAAAGAUCGAGUGAAGGGGCUGGAAUAUAUAAGAGAAAGGGUGCAAAUGCUGGUUAGAGAGGCUACUCUACAAGGAGAUGAGAUUUAUAAGGGUGUCUGAGACUGGCUAAAUAGAGUUGCUGAAUUCAGUGAAGGGGUUGAAAAAUCCAUCAUUGAUGAUAAAGAUAGAGCUAAGAUGUUCUGCUUCAAAGGGUUGUGCCCAAAUUUGAUUUCUCGUUACAAGCUUGGUAAACAAGCAGCAGAGGCCGCAAACGAAGCUGAUAAACUUGUGAAAAAAGGCGAAUUUAACAUCUGUAAUCAUGUUUCCUACCGUCCUGCUCCAGAGAGUACAGAAUAUGUGCAAGUGAAAGAUUACGUAGCCUUUUAUUAUAAUAUCUUUUCACUCUAUUAACUUAAAAAAGAUUGACUUCAAUGUUAAAAAUGUAACAGUAUAUACAUUUUAUAAUAAUUUCAAUAUUUAAAAAAUAUUUGAAUACUUUACAAUCUUAUAUUAUAUUAAACUAAAUUUUAUAAUAAUUAGAAACAUAAUAUUAAAAUAAAUAUAUAAAAUUUUAAGUUAGGCUUAAUAUUAUUUAAAAUAAUUUAAAUAUCAUUAAUAGAUGAGAUAUAUUAUAUUAAUUAUAAAUUCUAUUUAAUCGAAAUAUAUAUUUAAAUUUUUUAUACUAAAAAUAGAUAUAUUAUUAAAAUAAAUAUAACAACUAACAUUUUAAAAAUUAACACUGAAAUUAAAAUUAUAAAUUAUAUUAAUCUACUAGAAAGAUUAAUCUAUUUGACACUAGCAGCGGACAAUGAGGUCACGGCAUAGGACAAGCAGUUAUCGUGACCCAUGGACUUUUCUACUUCUUUUGAAAAAAAAAUCAAAAUCAAAAUCAAAGUCAUUGAAGUGCGUUUGAUGAUUUGCUGUUUAGCUUCUCUCUCAAAUGCUUUUUGAGUGCCUCCGGCAUCUGCUUUUAUAUAAGCUUUUGUCUUUAAUCAUUUAUUCAAGCUUUCGCUAAGAGUGAUGCAGCACAGCACAUAAAUAUAGAAGCAUUGACAGCCGGUCAGGAGCUCUUCGGUAUUUGAAGCAAGAAUGAUUGUUUGGCUUUGUGCAUUGAAAGAGAAAAGAAAAUGAAAGACUUAUUUCAUUAAUACAAUUUAAUUAAUUAAUUUAAAAUAAUAAGCAUAUAAUAAUGAUGAAAUUAAUUAAUAAAAAGAAGAAAAUGAAAAUUGCACGUGCUAUUAGCAUAAACCAAUUGCCGGAAUGAGGUCACUUUGUAGACAAAUGAUUCUGGAAUCAGAACUUGGGCCAGCUUUGGGUUAUGGAUCCAAAAUAAAAAAAGGUGGGCCCCAUGGUCUCUUAUGAUCAAUAAAAAUCGAUUGAAAAGGAUGGUAUGGUGAGUGCAAGAGAAAUUUCGAUGGCAGAUCAAGGGAUGAAGAUACGAGCUCACUUGCAACGUGGUAUAGUUCAUCAUGGCUGGCUUUCCUAUAAGUUCAGGUCCUUUGAAUACUUUCAAUGACCUUAUUAGUCAGGAAUUUAACAAUAAUUUUUAUUUUUUACAUCCAGGAACGGUUUUAAGCAUAGGCAAAUUAGGCCUAUAAUUAAUAGCAAAUCCUCUUUUUUAACAAUUAAACAAUUAGGAAGUCUCCCUUUUUAUUUUUGGUAUUACUUAUAAUAGCAAAUCUUUUUUUUUUUUUUUUUUUGGUUGUAAACCAUCCGGUGUGCCACGACCGCAUUGGGCCUCGAUUAAUCCGGAUUCGGAGUGUAGUCACAGUUAAGGCUCUUUACCCCUCCCAAAUGGUGUGUUUAGUGGGGAUCGAACCCGAGAGCUCUUCCCACAAACUCAGCCUGCACUGCCAACUGAGCCACAACCAUUUGGUAGCAAAUCUUCUUUUUUAGGCCUCUUUUUAGUUAGUAAUUAUCUUAUAAUUAAGAAUUUUUAUACACAUUCUAUAUUUGUUAACCUUAAUAUUAAAGAUCUCCAAUUGUUAAUUUAUUAUUAGUUUUUCCAAAAAAAAAUUAAAUUCUUUAUCUAUUUAAAAAAUUUUAUUAUUUAACAUUAUAAAAUUUUUUGCUCCAUUCUCUAUAAAGAAAAUUAUUACAUUUAUUGGUUCACUUUUGAAUUAAAAAAAAAAGUUUAUUGAAAUAAUAGUUCUAGAGGAAGUAAAAAAUAUAUCUUCUUGGAAAUGUUUCAAACCCAUGAGCUUGGAUUUGUUUGAUAAUUUGUCGAAUUUGCCCACAUAUGAAAUUAGUAUGAUUUUACAGGUUAUAUUAUUUUAUUGGCUACUUCAUUAAAAAAAAAAAACACACACACACAGACACAAGGAUUUUUAUUUGAUGGUAGAAGUUAAGUUGUUUUUCAGUGAUAAAUAAUGUUGUUAACCAAAUUUAAUUGACAUUCUACGCGGCAGUAAUUCAAUUUUAUAGAAGCACGUGGAUUAAAGGACAAAAACACAUCAAGUAUUUAAUAUUGGAUAUGGAUAUGAAUUUUAUCCGUAUAGAUAUGGAGAUCCAUGGAUAUCCACGGAUAUUUUAUUUUUAUUAGGGAUAUUAUCAUUUUCCUACCAAAGAUAUUCUGACACAUCAUGUCAGUACCACGAUUUGGUAAAACCAUCAAUUUACCACUAAAUGUUUAAACUGUUAGCAUUUUCCCACCAUUCCGUUAAAACUCAGUUAAUAUGUAACAGAAAAUUCAUAAAAGGUCAAUUUUACCCCUGAAGCGUAAAAUGCCAUGUAAUUAACCUUUUAUAAAUUUUGUAAUUAAAUCAUCAUUUACUGUUCUUCUUUCUUAAUGGGCAAAAAUUACCCUUUAUGAAUUUUGUAAAAUUGACCGUGUGGUGCUAGGUACUUCAUAAAUUGAUUUAAUUUAUUUAAUUUUUAAAGGGCAAAUUUAUUUAUUUAAUUUUUUGUGUAAAAUUAUUAUCAUCAUAUCAAAGAUUAAAUUGCUUCUUUUGCACAUUCUUUUUUUUCCCUUUCAUAAAUUGAUUUUUAGUAGUAGAAUAAAUUGUCUUUAGCUCGUCAAUUUAAUAAAUAAAUUUAAUUAAAUGAGUGCGGAUUAGGUCAGUGGCAGAUAAAAGAGUCGGUUUUUCCAUUACUAAGCUUUUCAUGGAUGAAAAUUUUAUUUAUUUUUUUUGGUUUUAUAGGGUCUCUGUGAAUGCCAUUAGAAAUGAAAUUGACUAAUUCAAGCUUCCUUUUUCCCCUUAACUGACUGUGAGAGGCCAUCAAUCAGCUCUGUUUUGUAUUUUUGUACCUUUUUUUUUUUCGUAUAAUGAUCAAUCAAAUGUUAGCCCUUAGAUUGCAUCCAAUAUUUACUGAUUGUCUUAUAUUAGGAUAUAAACUAAAUUCAUAAGACAUUCCCUUAUUGAUAUUCAUUCCGACACGUCCUAGUCCUUUGCCUUGUAGAAAUGCUUGUGGUUGAAGAGCUUUACAGAGAAGCUGUCGUCAGUACUGCUGGGAAAUUUAUUAUAUUGAAUCAGAAAACUUGACCAGAUAAAGGCUGUGUGCAUGGGAAUACUUGAGGAAAUAUGAUUUACAUAUACCACUUAAUAUUUUACAAUCUCGUAUUCUAUUAAAUGUAAAUAUGAUUUACAUAUAAAAUAAUUUUCAAUAUCAUAUAAAAUAAUUUUAAUAUUAUUAAAACAUGAGAAAUAUUAUAUUAAUUAUAAAAACUAUUUAACCCAAGGAUUUGUUUAAAAUUUUUAUAAUAAAUAUAUUAAAUUACAUUUUAAAAAUUAAUUAUUUAAAUUAUACAUACUAGUCUACUAGAAAAUUUAAACUAUUUAAAUCAUAUUUACAUUUAGUAAAAAAAUUUGAAGUCAUUUUUUUUUGUGGCUACCAUAAGAGUACUAUAGUCAAAAAGGGUAUUGGUGUUCUUUAUUAAAAUUUUGGGGUCUGCAUGACUAUUUUCUAAAAUUUUAAGGGUGUCAUUUUAUUUUUGGAAAAAAAAUAAAUUUCAUUUAAAUAGCUAAAAUGGUAAAUAGUAGAAUGCUACAGUGGGCGUAAAUAGAAGGUAAAAAGCAAUCAGAUUUUGAUUAAACAUGCAAUGUAUGAAAUAUAUAUUAUGAUUAAACAGAUUUUGAUUAUUUAAUAUUAAAUUAUAUUCACAUUAAUAUCUUAAGGAUAGGUAAUACUCAAAUAAUUUUAAAAAAAAUCAAACCCAAAUUAUAUGCAUUGCUAAUGUGCGUUAUUGUCUAAUAUUUGGAUUUUGCUAAGUCACAACUACUGUAACUUACGGACUCUUCAAACAUAUGUGGAUCCCACCACAUGUUAAAUUUUUUACAUUAUUUUUUAAGGGACUGUAAGUUACAACAGCUUAACCUAACAACACCCUAAUAGUUCACUUUACUUUUAUAUCUUUACAAAACAAUGCCAACAAGACAACAAUGUAUGAAAUAAAUAAAAUAAAUAAACAAAGAACUGACAGCGAAAUUAGGGCUAUCAUUGGUUUCUCGUGGUGUGAACUCUUGACAAUCCUCCCCGAUCCCAUCCAAAACUCCCGCGUAGUGUGAACAUUUGACGAUUCUCCCAUAUCCCUCCAAAAAUUUGUCAUAUUACAAAAAGCAAUGUCAAUUGCAAUGUCGUUUCCAUUAGUCAUAGUGGCAGAUAGGACUAGAAUUUGUUGAAACCCCUGGACUUAUUUUUCCUUUUGAAAAUAAUUUUGUAGAACCUCAUAUCGGGAAUAACAGACAAUAAGACUCUUUUUUUAAUUAUAAUAUAUUUUUUUAAUUUAUUAACUAAAAAAAUUAAUUUUAAUAUUUUAUAAUAAAUAUAAGCAGGAUAUUAAAAUAAAUAUAAUCAUAUGUACAUAUUAAAAUAUUUUAAUACCUAAAUAUAUUUUAAUAUUUUACAAUCUCGUAUUCUAUUAAACCAAAUUUUAAUAAAUAGAGACAUAAUAUUCAAAUAAAUAUAUAAAAGUUUUACUUAUUUUCAAUAUCAUAUCAAAUAAUUUUAAUAUUAUUAAAACAUGAGAAAUAUUAUAUUAAUUAUAAAAUCUAUUUAACCCAAGGAUUUGUUUAAAAUUUUUAUAAUAAAUAUAUUAUUAAAAUAAAUAUAUUAAAUUACAUUUUAAAAAUUAAUUAUUUAAAUUAUACAUACUAGUCUACUAGAAAAUUUAAACUAUUUAAAUCAUAUUUACAUUUAGUAAAAACUUUUGCAGUCAUUUUUUUUUUUUUUGUUACCAUCUACUAAGAGUACUAUAGUCAAAAAGGAUAUUAGUGUUCUUUAUUAAAAUUUUGGGGUCUACAUGGCUAUUUUCUAAAAUUUUAAGGGUGUCAUUUUGUUUUUGGAAAAAAAAUAACAAUUUCAUUUAAACAACUAAAAUGGUGAAUACUACAAUGCUACAAUGGCGUAAAUGGAAGGUAAAAAGCAAUCAAAAUGACCAACAGUCUAACGCCUCAGCAAGGACAUAAGGUCAAAGUUUGUUACAUGUGGUCAGAGCCAUUUAGUCUGUGAGUGGGUCUUUCGUGUCAUUUUUGGUCAUUUCAUCUUCUUUGGCAUUGAAGAUUAAAUGUUGACGACAUUUUCAAAAUUUUGGAAGACCCAUCAUACUUUUGGAUGGUUGUCAUUAUUUGAUAUUAUCAUUAUAUGACGAAAUAAAAUUGGAUGUAACACUUGUUUCGCAUUGUGUGAACUUUUGACAAUUCCCUCAUAUCCCCCAAAAAUCUUUCGCCAUUUUGGGAAGAUGCCAUUUAUUUUCAUUUUCAUCAUUGAUAGUGGCAGAUAAUGGGUUCCGGGGACAGACCAUAAAUUAUUGUGACCCAUGGACUUUUCUAAUUUUUUUCCCUUCGGAUAGUUGUCGUUAUUUGAUAGAAGGAGAUAGAGAUAAAGUUUUUUAAUCAAAUGCCCAUUUUAUUUAACAUGGAAGAAGAUCUUUAAACUCUAAGCGAGACUAUCACUUCAACAUAUGCAGCCUUCAAGAAAGCGGUAACAAGUGAUGAGAUAGACUCAUUAUUGUCUAAUCAAACAAGGACAUCGGUAGAUGUAUCAGGAUCUUAAGUUAGAUUGGAAUUUGAUACAUUAUUGUUGGUAACGUUGGUUCAAACCUUCAAAGUGAGGUUGGAUGCAAAAUGGUUUACACCAAAGAAGUGAUUUAGGAAGUUAAUUAACGUUAUUUUAGAUAAUUUAUAAUUCUAGAAUAUUUAUUAUUUUAUGAUUUUCUAUUUUAGUUUGAGUUAAUUAUGGUAUGUAUCUUAAUCUUUUAUUUCCAUUAUAAUUAUGAUUUAAAUUUUCUUUUUAGGUUAACUUAGGAAAGCGGGUUUCUUCUAUUAUAAAUAAAGAUGUCUGUAAUAAAAAAAAUAAAGAUGUCUUGUCAUUGUUUUCAUAACUUCAAGUUCAAUUAUUAAAUAAAACCCCUCUUUUAUAAUUUCCUCUAGGAUUAUUUAUCAAAAUCUCUCUUGUAGAGUCGUUUGGAUUAGAGUGUCAUCUAAUCUCGUAUUACGCGUUAUUAAAAAUCUCAUUGAGUCAUUUGGAUUAUAACGAUAUCUAAUCACGCUUCGAUUAGAGCGUAAACUAAUCGCGUUGGCUUGGUCUGGUACUAGAACGAUAUCUAAUGUUUCUUACCCUAUCAAUUCUGCUUCCGCUACGCCUCACUCCAUCAAUUGGUAUCAAAAUGAUUAUGUGCGAAUUGCACAUCUUUCCUAGAUACACCAUACCUAUCCAAACCAAAUCCAUCAAAAAAAAAAAAUUUACAAAUUUGAAACCCCCUACCCGUCACAUCAACCUCCACCGUCGCCCACCACCGCCGAUCAGCCAGCCAACACCACCACAAACCUCACUAGCCACCGUUGACCAAGCCUUAGUCAUCGCUGCCUCAACCGUCGCUUGAACAGCCGCAAAUCACCAACCCAAACCCGCGGCUCCACCAAGCAGCCCACCACCAUUCAGCCACUUUCUCCACCAACCACCUCCACCAACAAACUCGCCGGCCUCCGUUGACCAAAAACCGACCAACUUCAGCCCUUGAUCGCCGCCCGUUGUCACCACACGAAACGACACGAGUGCUUCCUAGACGCGCCGCCACCAAAACACCUUCUUUUUCCGUCAAUUUACACCACCACCAUAAUCCUUAGCAUUCGGCAACCGUAAAUCCAGUCUUCCGCCACUGUAAAGCCGGCGUAAACCAAAAGCCACAUCACCAAAAUCAACCGCCAAUUCAAGUCGGAUUUCCCCCAAUUCAAGUUGCUGAAUAUAAAAAGGACUCAUGAAAAUUACCUAAAGUUUCAAAUAUUGUUAUUCAGCAACCACUUUUAGGUUACAUUAGUUUCAACCCAAAUUUUAUAUAAAUAAUUUAUAACUCCCAUUAUUAUCAUAAAAAAAAAAUUGUAGCAAUUGAGGUUAUAUCACAUGAAAAAAAAAAUCUAAUUAAAGAAAUUGACAUUAUAACUUAAGGGAUAGUUGCUCUUUUAAUCAUUAGAAUUUAUGUCAAUUAUCCAGCUUAUCCUUGCAUUCUUAAAAACUAUAUACAAUACCAUUAUCUCUGCUUUUGUAGCUAUUGACUUUGACUUUGACAACAUAAAUAUUUAUUAGCAACAACUUAAAAUUCAAACAAAUCUAAUAUGUAAUGUAUGAAAUACAAAUAAUAAUUAAACAAAUUUUGAUUAUUUAAUAUUAAGAUAUAAUCACAUUAAUAUCAUAAGGAUAGGUGGUACUCAAAUAAUCUUUUAAAAAUCAAACCCAAAUUAUAUGCAUUAUUGUCUAAUAUUUAGAUUUUGUUAAGUUACAACUGAUGUCACUUAAGUCUCUUAAAAAAUAUGUGGGUCCCACCACCUAUUAAAUUUUUUACAUUAUUUUUUAAAAAAUUGCAGUUACAUCAGUUGUAACUUAAUAGCACCCCUAGUAUUUUACUUUACUUUUAUACCUUUACAAAAACAAUAAUGUAUGAAAUAAAUAAAUAAAGAACUGACAACGAAAUUAGGCCUAUCAUUAGUUUCUCGUGGUGUGAACUCUUGACAAUCCUCCCCUAUCCCACCUAAAGCUCUUGCGUGUGUGAACGUUUGACAAUUCUCCCAUAUCCCUCCAAUAAUCUGUCAUAUUGCGGAAAGCAAUGUCAAUUGCAAUGUCGUUUCCCAUUAGUCAUAGUGGUAGAUAGGACCAGAAUUUUUUGAAACCCCUGAGACCCUGAACUUGUUUUUCCUUUUGAAAAUAAGAAAAGAACACCCGUCUGGAGAAAUAAUUUUGUAGAACCUCAUAUCGUGAAUAACAGACAACAAGACUUUUUUUUUAAAUUAUAAUAUUUUUUAAACUUAUAAACUAAAAAAAUUAACUCUAAUAAUUUAUGAUAAAUAUAAAUAGGAUAUUAAAAUAAAUAUAAUAAUAUAUACAUAUUAAAAUAAUUUCAAUAUCUAAAAAUUUUAAUAUUUUACAAUCUCGUAUUCUAUUAAACCAAAUUAUAAUAAAUAGAGCAUAAUAUUCAAAUAAAUAUAUAAAAAUUUAGGUUAUUUUCAAUAGCAUAUAAAAUAAUUUUAAUAUUAUUAAUACAUGAGAAAUAUUAUAUUAAUUGUAAAAUCUAUUUAACCUAAGGAUUUAGUUAAAUUUUAAAAUAAUUACAAAUAUUUUAUAAAUACAAAUAAAUUAAUUUACAUUUUAAAAAUUAAUAUUUAAAUUAAUUAUUUAAAUUAUAUAUAUUAGUCUACUGGAAAAUUUAAAUUAUUUAAAUCAUAUUUACAUUUCGUAAAACUUUUAAGCCAAUUUUUUUUUAUUACCACCUACUAAGGGUAUUGUAGUCAAGGGGAAUAUUGGUAUUCUUUAUUAAAAAUUUGGGAUUUACAUGAUUAUUUUUCUAAAUUUUAAUGGUGUCAUUUUAUUUUUGACAAAAAUAAAAUUUCAUUUAAACAGCUAAAAUGGUGAAUAAUACAGUGCUACAGUGGCGUAAGUGGAAGGUAGGAAACAAUCAAAAUGAACAGUCUAACAUCACAGCAGGCAUAUAAGGCCAAAGUUUGUUACAUCCCAAUACAACAAGUUUGAAACUUUGCACCUUCUGAAAUGAAACAAACUUACUUGGAUAUUGGCGAUCAGUGAGAAAAACCCUUUUUCCAAAGCAACCUUAGGGUACCGAGUGUUACAGAUUCAAUGAACCACAAGUACUUAUUUACAUUGUGGUAUCUCAAAGGCACCAAUUUCUUCUGAUCCGUUAAGGAAAACAAGAAAAAUAAAAAGAAAAGAAAAAGGUUACUUGUGCAACACAACCUUGACGCCUAGCUACAUGGUACAUUCUCUUUGUGUGUUUGAACUAGUUAACAAUAAUUGUGCCUUUACUUCUUGGAUUGGGGAAUCGGAAUCCGAAAUCAAAAUCAUUAAUGAUGGAGGCAGGGAUCCAAAUCAGAAUUAUGGGGCCACCCAAAUUUAGGAAUGAGGAAUGGAAGAUUGAUUCCCAAGGAAGGUGGUGGGAAUCAAUCACCCGUUCCCAAGAUUGACCAUUUUGCUCCCUCUCACAAACUAUAAAAUGUCUAUUUUGUCCUCAAUUAAAAAAUUAUUAUGAUUAAUUAAUAUAUGUUUAUAAUUUAUUAAUAUAACUAUUCUAAUCAAUUUAUACAUUUUACAUUUAUUACUAUUAUUAAAUAAUUAAUAUAUUAUUAUAAUUAAUUAAUAUAUUUUGAAUUUUUAUUAUUAUCAUCAUCAUCAUUAUUAUUAUUGUUAUGAAUGAUAAAAAAUUUUACAAUUAAUUAAUAUAUUAAUAUAUUAUUGACAAUAAUUAUUAAUAAUAAUAAUUUUUGAAUAAAUAAAAAUGUAUAAUUAAUUACUGAAUUUGAACAUUUUACAAUUAUUCUAUUAUUUGGACUUAUCGUACAUGCAGAGUAGCUAGUUUGCUAGCAUAUAUGUAAGGUUUAAUUUGAAUGCAUGCAGCAUUGAGAAGAGACAACGCAGAAACAAAAUUUCCGCUUGCGAUCUUUUCAUUUCCCUGUUUAAUAACAAACAAAACAGAGGAGAAACAGGGGCUCUCUUUUAAUUCCCCUGUUUUUCUGUUUGGUGAUUUUAAAAUGGGUCAUUCUAUAAUGCCGUAACUAAAUUUACGGCAUUGAUGCCGUAAUGGACGUGGACCGUUAGAUUUGAAUAAAAAAUCUCUACCAUUAAUUCUAAAUAAAUAAGUAAUAUGUUACCUAAAUAGCAGGUAAUUACUCUUUUUUGUUCAAGUUUCAGGUUACAUUUACUAAUUUUAUGUGUGAUUUACAAGUUUUAUGAAACUUUUACAAGUUAAUGCUGAUUUACAAGUUAUAUGUAACAUUUACAAGUUUUUGUUUUGUUUACAAGUUCUUCUUACAAUUUACAACUCUAACAUUAAUUUACUAGUUGUAUGUGUGGUUUACAAAUUUUUUGUUUUAUUUAACACUUAAUGUCAAUUUACAAGUUCUAUGUAAUUUUUCUAAAUUUUGGUUUUGUUUACAAGUUCUUCUUACAAUUUACAACUCCAACAUUAAUUUAUUCAUUUUUCCAUCAAUUUACUAGUUUUAUGUGUGAUUUACACAUUUUUUGUUUCAUUUCACAAUUAAUGUCAAUUUACUAGUUAUAUGUCAUUUUUAUAAGUUUUUGUUUUGUUUACAAGUUCUUCUUACAAUUUACAACUCUAACAUUAAUUUACCAAUUUUUCCAUUAAUUUACUAGUUUUAUGUGUGAUUUACACAUUUUUUGUUUCAUUUCACACUUAAUGUCAAUUUACUAGUUGUAUGUCAUUUUUCUAAGUUUUUGUUUUAUUUACAAGUUCUUCUUACAAUUUACAACUCCAACACUAAUUUACCAAUUUUUUUCAUUAAUUUACUAGUUUUAUGUGUGAUUUACACAUUUUUUGUUUCAUUUCACACUUAAUGUCAAUUUACUAGUUGUAUGUCAUUUUUCUAAGUUUUUGUUUUGUUUACAAGUUCUUCUUGUAAUUUACAACUCCAACAUUAAUUUACCAAUUUUUUCAUUAAUUUACUAGUUUUAUGUGUGAUUUACAUAUUUUUUGUUUCAUUUCACACUUAAUGUCAAUUUACAAGUUCUAUGUCAUUUUUCUAAGUUUUUGUUUUGUUUACAAGUUCUUCUUACAAUUUACAACUCCAACAUUAAUUUACCAAUUGUUCUAUCAAUUUACUAGUUUUAUGUGUGAUUUACAUAUUUUUUGUUUCAUUUCACAAUUAAUGUCAAUUUACUAGUUGUAUGUCAUUUUUCUAAGUUUUUGUUUUGUUUACAAGUUCUUCUUACAAUUUUCAACUCUAACAUUAAUUUACCAAAUUUUUCAUUAAUUUACUAGUUUUAUGUGUGAUUUACAUAUUUUUUGUUUCAUUUUACACUUAAUGUCAAUUUAAAAGUUCUAUGUCAUUUUUCUAAGUUUUUGUUUUGUUUACAAGUUCUUCUUGCAAUUUACAACUCCAACAUUAAUUUACUCAUUUUUCCAUUAAUUUACUAGUUUUAUGUGUGAUUUACAAAUUUAUUGUUUUAUUUCACACUUAAUGUCAAUUUACUAGUUGUAUGUCAUUAUUCUAAGUUUUUGUUUUGUUUACAAGUUCUUCUUACAAUUUACAACUCUAACAUUAAUUUACCAAUUUUUCCAUUAAUUUACUAGUUUUAUGUGUGAUUUACAUAUUUUUUGUUUCAUUUCAUACUUAAUGUCAAUUUGCAAGUUCUAUGUCAUUUUUCUAAGUUUUUGUUUUGUUUACAAGUUCUUCUUGCAAUUUACAACUCCAACAUUAAUUUACUCAUUUUUCCAUUAAUUUACUAGUUUUAUGUGUGAUUUACAAAUUUAUUGUUUUAUUUCACACUUAAUGUCAAUUUGCAAGUUCUAUGUCAUUUUUCUAAUUUUUUUUUUGUUUACAAGUUCUUCUUGCAAUUUACAACUCUAACAUUAAUUUACUCAUUUUUCCAUUAAUUUACUAGUUUUAUGUGUGAUUUACAAAUUUAUUGUUUUAUUUCACACUUAAUGUCAAUUUGCAAGUUCUAUGUCAUUUUUCUAAUUUUUUUUUUUUGUUUACAAGUUCUUCUUGCAAUUUACAACUCCAACAUUAAUUUACUCAUUUUUCCAUUAAUUUACUAGUUUUUUGUGUGAUUUACAAAUUUAUUAUUUUAUUUCACACUUAAUGUCAAUUUACAAGUUCUAUGUCAUUUUUCUAAGUUUUUAUUUUGUUUACAAGUUCUUCUUGCAAUUUACAACUCCAACAUUAAUUUACUCAUUUUUCCAUCAAUUUACUAGUUUUAUGUGUGAUUUACACAUUUUUUGUUUCAUUUCACACUUAAUGUCAAUUUACAAGUUCUAUGUCAUUUUUCUAAGUUUUUGUUUUGUUUACAAGUUCUUCUUACAAUUUACAACUCCAACAUUAAUUUACCAAUUUUUCCAUCAAUUUACUAGUUUUAUGUGUGAUUUACAUAUUUUUUGUUUCAUUUCACACUUAAUGUCAAUUUACAAGUUCUAUGUCAUUUUUCUAAGUUUUUGUUUUGUUUACAAGUUCUUCUUACAAUUUACAACUCUAACAUUAAUUUACCAAAUUUUUCAUUAAUUUACUAAUUUUAUGUUGAUUUACAUAUUUUUUGUUUCAUUUCACAAUUAAUGUCAAUUUACUAGUUGUAUGUCAUUUUUCUAAGUUUUUGUUUUGUUUACAAGUUCUUCUUACAAUUUUCAACUCUAAUAUUAAUUUACCAAAUUUUUCAUUAAUUUACUAGUUUUAUGUGUGAUUUACAUAUUUUUUGUUUCAUUUCACACUUAAUGUCAAUUUACAGGUUCUAUGUCAUUUUUCUAAGUUUUUGUUUUGUUUACAAUUUCUUCUUAUAAUUUACAACUCCAACAUUAAUUUACUAGUUUUUUUCUAUUUUUUAUUUUUUUAAAUUUUGUAGACCAAUUUACCACUCUAACGUUGAUUAUUGGCAUUUUAUGAUUUAGAUAGAAUGAUAUAAGGGUGGGCAUGAGUUGGGUUUGAUAGGGUUAGUGAAAUUCUAACCUGAUCUACUUUUUAAUGAGCUGACAUAAAAUCCAUCCAACUUAACUAAAUAAACUUGUUUAACCCAAUUCUACCCAAGCCUUAUAUCGUCUGGUUAAGUUGAUUAGGUUGAAGGUCAAAUCAAAAUUUUAAUUUGAACAAUGAAAAUGAUAUGAAACUUGAAAUGAAACUUAUUAAAAUCAAAUAUAAAUCUUUUAUAAAAUGAAAUUUUCAUUCACUAUCUAGUGUACGUAAAGAAAGUUAAUAAAUUAACUAUCUUUAAAUUAAGAAAAUUUCCACAAAAAGCAUAUAGACUUUAUUUCUCCUACAUCUCCUUUUCCAAUUCCAAAUUCAGACUUUUUAGAUAAUUAGCUAGCAUCAUAUACAAAAAUAAAAUGAAAGUGAUAUAUAAUUAUAUGCCGUUAAGUAUUCACUAAAAAAAUAAAAAGAAAUUAAAACCAACUUACUUUUAUAUUAAUCUUAUAAAAUAAUAAAUUUACUUAUAAGAGAGUGUGAUUUUGGUUUUGGAAUUGUAGUCUAGAGCAACAUGUAGGUCCCGAACCCUGAUUUCAAUUUAAUUGGGCUCUAAUAUUUAGGCCCGAGCCUAACCAUUAAAUUCGAGUCAAAGGAUAGAAAAUUCAGGUCAAGUCAAUUAGACUAAAAGUCGAUCCGAGUCUUCCUUGCAUGUAUAUAUGUUUGCAUCUUGAUUUUUUAUUUUUAUAUAUCAUAUAAACUCUUCUAUAAAUUUAUAGGUAUAUAUAGAAUGCUGCGUUUACUUGUCAUUAAUUGGAAUAGGUAAUGAGAAUCAGAAUAAGUUGUUUACUUGAUCUACAAGAAUCGAAAUCGGAAUGGACUGGAACCCCAUUAAUGUGUUUAUUUUAUCUUGGAAUUGGCUUCGGAAUGAGUUAAAUUGUAACAAAUUACUAAAAAGUACUUAAUGGAUUAUUAUCAUAAUUAUUAUUUUAUAUUUUAAUUAUAGUGAUUAUUUAUUCAAAAAUUAUUAUUAUUAUUAUUAAUUGUAAUAUAUAUUAAUAUAUUAAUAAAAUCAUAAAUCUAUCAUUUUUCUUUAAAUUAGUUUAUAAAAAUCGACAUUGUCCCUUUCCCGAAUGAGAAAUUGGGUAUAAAAUCAUAAAUUUAAAAUUUAACUAAAAAUCAUAAAUCUAAACCCCAAAAAAGUCAUAACAUAAGUGGUUCUAUAUAUAUUUUAGGUAUAUAUAUAAAUGUUUGUGUGUGUGUGUGUGUGUGUCUCUCUCUCUCUCUCUAUAUAUAUAUAUAUAUAUAUAUAUCUUAUUUUUAAUGAAUUGUCAUAUUACUGGAAUUACUUAGUAUGAUGUCAUAAUUAUAGAAUUAAGUCACUUUUAUGGCAUAAACAAUAUAAUUUUCUAAAAAAAAAUUAGGUUCAACUAAAGAUUGAUAUGUUACUAAUUUUUUUUUUUUUUGGAUGGACCUCUUUACUAGUUUAAAAUCGAAUCAUUGGCAUGUUUAAUUUAAACCUUAUGGUCCUUUUUAGUUACAAUUUUUUUUUUAAAUAUCAAGGUAUUUUUUAAUCUGCUAUCAAAUUUCACUUAACACUUUUACACUCUUUUUAUUUCAAUUUUUUUAAAAUAAAUAUUACAGUACUUUUUUCUUACAUUCACGACAAAUUAUGUAAUCUCAAUAGCUCCAACUAAAGAUUGUAAUCUCACGACAAAUUAUGUCAUAUUUAUAGAAUUAAGUCACUUUUUUCCUUGUUCCCGUAAUAUUUUUGCUUCUUGCUUGCUGCAGUCAAUUAAAUAUUUUGAAAAAAAAAUAUAAUCAGUGCACUGUCACAUUAUUAUGCUUGACUUUACUAAAUAUUCAUAAAUUUACCAACAAUCAAAUACGUAAUAUUUAAUGUAAUUAGACUUACAAAUACUUAACGAAAGACCGAUUAUUUCUUAAAAUUUCAAUUUCUUGGUUCACGUUAUCCUUGAAAUCAUUCUCGUUACCCUUAUCUACAUUUUCAGCCAUUUUCGAGUUUAUAACAAGAACCUGUACAUGAAGAUAUUAGGCACAAAAAGAAAUGUCAAAGAUCACAAGUUUUGGAUCCUGUAAAAAUAUUUUACAGAUAAACAUUUCAAUUCAAAAUUCAAUCGCCCGAGCAAUAAUUAGGAACACCUGGAAAGUUAAACUGGUAUUUGCUUCCAUAACAGUGACAAACAAUAACCAUUCACAACAUUAGUUAUAAUCCUUAAAAAGAAAUAACAAACUUCAAAAAAAAAUAUAUAGACGUUUUACAAUGACUGUUGGCUUGGCACAUCAAUCUAAAGCUCACAAGCAGUUUGCAUUUCUCAUCAUCUCUUUCUUCUUCCCUCUAUUAUCAAUGGAUUGUAGAAGCUCAAAUGAAGCAAGUAGCAGCAGGAACAACACAAGCAACUUUUACUAUCAAUCCCCAUCCUUCUCCAUUCAAAAUGCAUCAUGACCAUUUUCCGGCCAGCUCCAUACACAAAAACAACAGUAAAUAUAUCCGGAAACAACAAAAAAAUUAACCCAAAAGUAGUAGUAAAUUUAUACAAAAACAGAAAAAAAUUUAACUGAAAUACGGCAGCAAAUUAACCCAAAACCAGCAGAAUUUUAACACAGAAAUAGCAGCAACUGAAGCCCAAAACACCCGAAAAUUUUACCCAAAAACAGCAGUAAAUUUAUCCAGAAACAGCAGAAAAAUUAAUUGAAAAACAGCAGCAAAUUUACCCAGAAGCAGCAGAAAAUUUAACCCAAAAAUAGCAGUAAAUUUAUCUAGAAACAGCAGAAAAUUUAAUUGAAAAACAGCAGCAAAUUUACCCAGAAGUAGCAGAAAAUUUAACACAAAAACAGCAGCAAAUGAAGCCCAAAACAGCAGAAAAUUUAACCACAAAACAGCAGAAAAUUUAACCCAAAAACAGCAGUAAAUUUAUCCAGAAACAGCAAAAAAUUUAACUGAAAAACAGCAGCAAAUUUACCGAGAAACAACAGAAAAUUUAACACAAAAACAGUAGCAAAUGAAGCCCAAAACACCAGAAAAAUUUACCUCCAAACAGCAGAAAAUAUAACCCAAAAACAGCAGUAAAUUGAUCCAAAAACAGCAGAAAAUUAGACUAAAAACAGCAGCCAAUUUACCCAGAAACAGCAAAAAAUUUAACUCAAAAUCAGCAGCAAAUGAAGCCCAAAACACCAGAAAAAUUUAACCCAAGAACAACAGCAAAUCAUUCCAAAUACAGCAUAAAAUUUACCCAGAAAAAAAAAGCAUAUCAAAUCAUCCCAAAUACAGCAGCAAAUCAUCCCUACGUUUCAAACAUGCUUCUCUAGGCUAACUCUAGACUUAAUUUUCCCUUCAUUACCACAGUGGAACUCAUUCUAACUGGUAAAUUUAUUUGUAUAAACAAUAAUUCACUUUCUAUUGAACUAAGAGUUGAUGAAAUUCAUUGAUAUUGAAAUUAUUUGCAGUUGAUGAACCUCGUAUUCUAUUAAACUUCCAACCAAAAUCAAUGCACAUGAGAAUACAAAAUCAAGGGCACAACAAUUAACGAAAUUUACUUUUAAUUUCGUCCAAACCUAUACAUCGCACCAAAUUAAGGUUCAGUUUCUAUUUCUUCAUUAACCCAAGUGACACAAAACAAUUCUAUUAAAUUUUAUGUUGAAAUUAUUUGUAGCAAACAAACAAAUAUACCAAAAAUAGGCUUACUUGGUGGAAUUAACAACAAUGCAAACGCGGUGGAGGGGAAUCAGUGGCUGGAACUUGCCUUGCCUUCUCUUCCAAUCAAUAAGAUUGAGGGCAGCAGCAACAACUUAUGAUCAACACCUGGUACUCCGCUUCAGGCACUGUCAAAUCUCAUCAAAAUUUCUUUAUCCCUUAAUUCUCUUGGAAACCAAACAAAAUACCACAACCAAUCCAGAUGCACAGUAUCCAAAAAUUAUAAAAAAAUCCACUUAAAAAACUUAAAAAAGGGUUAAAAAAAGUCUUAAGAAGAGUUUACCUCCUGAAUCACUGAUGCCCAGCCGGUAUCGUUGUUCCAAAACCCCUUGACGAAUACGAACACAGCCUGGUUCUCCUCAACCAAGUUGUUGUAGAGCUUCUUCUUGUCCGAUUAAAUAAUCUAUUGGUAUUUAGUGAUGGAUUUAAAGAGGAACGCCUUGGCGAUGGGCAAAUUUCAAAUCCGCUUCUGUUUUGCUGCAAGCAGAUUUCAAAUCGGUGAUGGGCAGGAACACAAACUCAGCCCCUUCACCAACAUGAACCGUUGUAGAGCUUCUUAUUUCUCGCUUCUUUUUGGCUUCAGGCAGUUUUCAAAGCGAUGAUUGGCAGGAAAAGAGGAACGAUUGAGGAAAACAAAAUUUGGGUUAGCCAGCAAGCACAAUCGCUUCGAAAAUACAAGAUCCGGCGUGCUGCAAUUUCUUAGACUCGAUGUUGUGCCCUUCGAAUUAUGAGAUUCUAUUUGGAUUUUUGUAGAUUCGGUUUUAAAAAAAUAUAUAUAUAUAUAUAUAUGUAUGUAUAUAAUUUUGAAAAUUUUAACCAGUUAAUUUUUUUAAAUAAAUGUUUAGCCGGUUAACAACCGGUUAAUGAAAAAAAUUUACAAAUUUUUUUAUUAUGUUAUAGUUAUUGCAUGCUGUUGAUUUAAUCCAACGGUGUACAGUAAUUACGGCAUUAAUACCGUAAUUUUUAUUACGGUAUUAUAGAAUUUUCCUUUUAAAAUUUUAUGUCUAUAUUUAUCAAAAAAAGUUAUCCAGAAUUAUUAUCUAUUUUUGAUACACAUUGAUUUAUUAAAAAAACAAUUAAAAACUGCAAUUCUAAACUUAUCGUUGUGCACUGUGCUUUGACCUUGGGGUGGUUUUUUUCUGUUUUUUUACGUAGGCCAGAACCUUAAUGAAGAAAGUUUUCAUCGUUAAUUGCUUUUGACCUAGGAGAAUUUAUUACUUGGACAAAUUAACACCAUUGUCCUUUGAUGCGGCUCCUAGAUAUCUAUGCAAUUUGUGUCAUUUACUUUUGCUUUGUAUUCUUUUUUAAAUGAGUCCUGACUGGUUCAUUGGCAGAUAAAUGAGUCGGUUUUUCUGUUUUUAUUUUUUAUUUUUUAUUUUUUGAAAGACGGUUUUUCUGUUACGAAACUUUUCAUGGAUGAAUUUUUUUUUUAAUUUUAUAGAUUCUCUGCGAAGGCAGUUUAGAAGUACUAAGUUUUGUUAGGUAGAAGGGUAUUUAAGUAUUUUCAUUUCAUAUUUUGACAUUUCCUUGACCUUUGAAGUAUUGAAUCAUUGUGUUGGUAUUUAAGUAAAUCUGCCCACAAUGAGGAAUAUAUAGUUCAGAACAGUUGAGGAAGCAUGAGAAUACUUGAGGAAAACCUGAUCUGCACUCUUUCCUCUAUAUGUGUCUUCAAUAUAAAUGGCUCAAAUAUAUGCGUUAUGAUCUUUUAAUAUUUCGCCUCUGAUAUUGCCCACAUUGCUUACUGCAAUAGAUAAAGCACUUCGUUUACCCCAAAUCCUGAUAGGGAAGUAUAAAUAUAUGCUUCCGAAAUAGCGCAACUCUCCAUAAUUAUUUAAUAUGCCUCUCAAUGAAGCAAUCACUUCAUUUACAAUUCUUCGAUUAUUAAUCCUACAUACACGUGUUUCUUUUGUCUCUAAAAGUAUUCUCAAUUAAUUUACAUAAUUUAAUAUAAUAAGUACCUAAGACUAGACAAAUUACCAUUACAAUAAAAUGAAUAAAUUAUAAUAGUAUUGACACAAUAAUGUCAAUAAUAAAUGCCUUAACAAACCUAUAAAUUUUAGAAUAUGGCUCAGAGUGCUACAAUGAACCACAACAAGUUAUUAUAUUAUCUAUAAUCAAUAUUCCAAUGAUAAUAGAGCUUUUCUAUUUUCAAUCCGCUGCUUUUCUGUUUAGCGAUUGCCAAAUUUUAUAUCUAAAAUUCUUCUAAUUUUACACUAAGGUUUAUUUAAAAAAAAAAAAAAGGGGGUAGGAGAGAGAGACUCAGAGAGUAUUAAAAAAUGUAAUUCUAAAUUUUUACUUGAGCGUUGUGUGAUUUUUAUCAUUUUUUUUAAGUUGGCCAUUUAUAUUGAGUAAAUAAAAGAAUGAAUAGACGUUUGGACCACUUCUUUUCUGUUAUAAUAAAACAUGAGAUGUCUUUUCUUGAUGUUUUCGUCACAAAAGAAUAUGUUUAUGUCAUCAUAGGCUUAAAUGGGGUAAGUAAAUUAAGAUCGAGGAAAAGUUUGUUUAAGCACUAAAGUCGCUAAAUAAACGAAAGGCUCAUAUAAAAAUUACCUAAAGCACCAAAUAUUGUUAUUUAGCUACUUCUUUUAUGUUACAUUAGUUUCUACGCAAAUUUAUAUAAAUAAUUUAUAACUCCCAUCAUUAUUAAAAAAAAAAAAAAACUGUAGCAAUUGUGGUUAUAUCACGUGGUGUGAUCUUUUGACAAUUCUCCCACAUCCCACCAAAAACUCUUACGCGGCAUGAACUUUUGACAAUUCUCCCAUAUCCCACCAAAAAUUUGUCAUGUUGCGAAAGGCAAUGUCAAUUGCAAUGUCAUUUCCAUUAGUCAUAGUAGCAGACAAUGGAGGUCCCGGGAUAGGACUAGAAGUUUUUGAAAUCUUGGACUUAUUCUUACUUUAUUUUUUCUUUUGAAAAUGAGAAAAGGACACCCGUUUGAGGAAAUAAUUUUGUAGAACCUCAUAUCGUGAAUAGGGGAUAAUAAGACUUUUUUUUUUUUUUACUUCACUGCAAUAUUCUUUAAUUUUAUUAAUUUUAUAUUUUAUAAUAAAUAUAAAUGUGAUAUUAAAAUAAAUGUAAUAAUAUAUACAUAUUAAAAUAACUUGAUAUUGAAAAAUAUUUUAAUAUUUUACAAUCCCGUAUUACAUUAAACCAAACUAUAAUAAAUAGAUAUAAUAUUAAAAUAAAUAUAUAAAAGUUUAAAUUAUUUUGAAUAUCAUAUAAAAUAAUUUUAAUAUUAUUAAUAAAUCAGAAGUAUUACAUUAAUUGUAAAAUCUAUCUAAUCCAAGGAUUUAUUUAAAUUUUUUAUAAUAAAUUAAAAAUAUAUUAAUUAACAUUUUAAAAAUUAAUAAUGAAAUUAAUUAUAUAAGUUAUACAUAUUAGUCUACUAGAAAGAUUUAAACUAUUUCAAUCAGAUUUACAUUUAGUGAAAAUUUUUGAAGUUAAUGGUUUUGGUUAUCGUCUACUAAGAAUCUUGCAGUUAAAAGGGGUAUUGACAUUCUUUAUUAAAAAUUUGAGGUCUACAUAACUAUUUUUUAAAAAUUUAAGGGUGUCAUUUUUAUUUUUAACAAAAAUAAAAUUUCAUUUAAAUGGCUAAAAUGGUGAAUAAUACAAUGUUACAGCUGGCGUAACAUUGUAUUAUAUGUUAAAUUUUUUUAAAUAUUUGUAUAUAUUGUUAUAUGAUAUUAUAAUAUUAUAUUUAUAUUUAUUAAAAUAUAAGAGUUAAUAUUUUUAAAUUAAUAAAGACAAAAAGUAUUAUAAUAAAAAAGAAUUCUUUUAUUAAAAAUAUAAUCAUUCUCCCAAACUUAUCCUUGUCCCUUUUUGAAAGGAAAAAAUAAAUUAGAAAAGUCUUUGGUCAUGAUAACUUCUAGCCUUGUCCCAUGGGACAUGGCUACGGUGCAGAAGCUGAAAGUAACAGCUUCGAACUUUCCCAUUUCCAUCACCUUGCAUUGGGACCUCUUUCUCUCUCCUCUAGCACCAGUGGAAGUUCCCCAUUGGCCGCUGUUACUUACAGAAGCUGUAACAUAGACUUCUAGCCAUGUCCCGUGAUGUCCAUUGUCUGCCACUAUCAAUAAUGGCAAUGACAUUGCAAAUGAAACAUUGAAAAUGUAUUUUCACAAUAUGACAAAAUGGGAGGAUUGUCAAAAGUUCACUGAAACUAGAGUUAGAUCUAAUUUCAUUUAUUUCAUAAAUUAGAAAAGUCUAUGGUCGUGAUAACUUCUAGCCAUGUCCCGUGAUGUCCAUUGUCUGCCACUAUGAAUAAUGAAAAUGACAUUGCAAUUGAAACUUUGAAAGGUAUUUUCGCAAUAUGACAAAGCUUUUGUUGGGAUACGGGAGGAUUGUCAAAAAUUCACACCACGUGAAACUAGCGUUAGAUCUAAUUUUAUGUCGUCAGUUCCUUAUAUAUUUAUUUCAUUUAUUUUAUACAUAGCUGUUUUAGGGUGAUAUUGUUUUGUAAAGAUAUAAUAGUAUGGUACUAUAAAAAGAAAAGAGGUGUGUGUAUACUUCCCAGUGUAAUAAUUAUAUGUAGAAGAAAACUAACAAGAGGAAAAAUGACAAAGAGCAAGGCGCUGGUUGUGGGGAGAAGAGGAUAGAGAAGGCAAUCUUAGCUUGUUGAUUGAGGGCUCAUUUUCUGAUCAUCGUAGCCUUGUUGGAGCUGUCAAACAAGUCGAUGUUGUCAUUUGCACCAUGUCGGGGGCUCAUUUAAGGAGCCACAAACAUUUUGAUGUUGCUUAAACCUGUUGAGUCCAUCAAAUAAGCUGUAAAUAUUAAGGUACGUAAUCCUUAAUUUUUAUGUAAUUUUAAUUUCAGAUCCAAAAUUGCAUGCAAGUCAUUAAAUUUCUUUCCUUUUUUUAUUUUUUAUUUGAUGAGUUACUUGAUUUGGUCGGGUGCCUUUUUUUUUCCUUUGGUUUUUCUUUUUCCAAAACAUAAAUAGACCAAGCACAUCUCCAAAUCGGGUUGGAGCGGGGAUUCUAACUCUACGAUGGCCAUAUUAAAAUUUAAAAUUUUUUAAUUUAUUUUUUCUUUUAUAACUACAUCUCAAUAUUUGAAAAAAUGAUUAUAUAGAUCUAUAUAUUAUCGAACCCAAAAUUAUAAUAAUACAUGUAAUUAUUCUAUACAUGCGUCAACAAGGCAACAGUAACCAAAUACAUGAUAUGCGAAGGGGGUGCAUGAUUAAGUCCUUUUUUUAUUCAAUUCAUUGUUAUUAUUUUUCAGCAGUUACCAGUGAUCUUUUUGCUCAUUAAAAUUAUUCUUAAAUAUUCAACGCCCAGAAGAGAAGCUCAUCAACUAUCAGAUCCCGGAUAAUUAAAGAGGUGAACUUGUUCUAAAUCCUUUGAUAAUUUCUAUUAAUAGCAUAAUCUCCUUGAUCCAAGAAAAAAUAUCUCCUGUUUGUCUUAAUCUUGUCAUUUAAUUUUUUCAACAGCAAAUAUAUAUACACACGCACACACACAUAUUGUUAAAAAGUGCAGAAAAACCACUCAAAAACGUGGAGAAAAACCACUCAAAUUUAUACAUGCGUCAACAGGGAAACAGUAACCAAAUACGUGAUACAAAAAGGGGUGAAUGAUUCUGUCUUUGCCUUUUGCAAGUCGCUGUUAUUACUCUCAUCAACUCCUUUCUCGCACAUUUCUCAGCAGUUACCAGUAAUAUUUAAAAUCGCUGUGUAGAUAUGCAAAGUUCCGUAAGUGCAUUAAUAAUUAUUUGCCAGAAAAAAAUAGUUGCGUCAAUAUUAAAGGAAUUGACAUCCAGGGGACCCAAUUUAGUUGCUUAAUGAUUAUUUAAUUAAUUAAUUUAUAAUAUAUUAAUCUUUUAAGUUGAAUAUUUAAAAUCUUAGACCCGAAACAAUAAAUCAUCUGAGGCAAAUAAAAGAGAAAUUAUCAUCCUUUUUUCUUUUUUUAACUUCUUGUAGCUUAUAAAAGAGAAAUUAUCAGUCAUUUACUCAAAGUUUAUUCAAUUAUUAAAAUUAUUAUAAAAAUUUAAAUUUAUUUAAUUUUACAUCCAAUGUAUGCAAUUUGUAUGAAACAUCUGUUAAAAAUAUAAAGUUAUUCGUUCAAAGUGACAAAAUAGAAGCGAACACAAAAUUGUAGUGGUGAUUAUGUUUUAGGAGUAACUUUAUUUUUUUAGUAAACAGUUGAUACACAUUUUAUAACUUUUGGAUAAUAAAAUAAUUUUUAGGUGGAUGAUUGAAAAUUUUUCUUUUCAAAAUAUUUUGAAAACAAUACCAAAUGUACCAAAACAUUGUUUACUUUCACUCUCUCUCUCUCUCUCUCUAUCUAUCUAUCUAUAUAUAUAUAUAUAUAUAUAUUAUUUCUUAACUCAUUCUUAUCCUUAUUCUUUCUAACAUAUCCACAAUCUGUCAAUGAAAUUUACUUUUAUAAAUUUAAAGAUUUUUUCAUGCAAUUUUGUACGAUGAUGAGUUCUCAUAUUUAUGUUAAAAAAUAAUUCGUAAAUAAUACAAAUGAAAAAAACAAAAAGUAGCAGGGCUGGCAAUACAAAACCAUAACUUUUUUUCUUUGAAUUUUGCAUAAAUAAAGUCAAUAGUGAUUUGUCAGCGCGAUCUUGAGAGCACGGCUUGGAGUCUCAAUAAUUAUUGACACUCAUAUUUGAAAACUUUCGAAAAGAUAAAAUCCAAUAUGAAAGGUGAAACGUUAUAAUCAUAGUAACUAGAAAAUUGAUUGAUUUACAAAUAUCAAUUUAAACAAUUUUCAUGUUGAUCGACAAUUUAAGUAGAUUGACAAAGAUUGAAGUAAUUACUGUUGGUGAUGAUUGACUUUGUCCUUAUCCUUGCCUUCUUCUUAUCAAAAAUCCAGUGUCAAUUAAAUUGGGCCAGGGUUUCUGAUUGCAACUAAUGGACUUCAUAUACGCAUAAUGGUCCCUACGUAUAUGCGUACCAAUAUUUGAUUGAAAAAGGGGGUGCAUGCUUAAUGCUCAAGUCGUCUUCUUUUGGAAAUUCAUUGUUAUUACUCUCAUCAACUCGUUCCUCACAUUCCUCUUUAGUCAAAACCUGUAAUAUUUCUUCUAUAUUCAAGGUGAAUACAGCAGCUCAUCAACUCUUAUCCCAGACAGGUAAAGAGGUGCACUUGUUCUAAAACCUGUAAUAUUCUUUUAGUAGCAGAAUCUCUGAUACUUGAUCUUCAUAGCGGUUCUUUCUUAAUUUCCAUAAACUUUCCUAGGAAAAAAAUUCUCUGGUUUUUCUUAAUCAUAUCAUUUACUUUUCUUAAGUCAUAUCAUUUAUUUUUAGUAGCAGAAUACUUGAUCUUGAUAGCCAUUCUUUCUUAAUUUCCAUCAACUUUCCUUGAAGGAUACCUUUCUGUUAAUAGCGAAACCUCUGAUCCUUAAGAUAGAAAAAGAAAUUCUCUACUUAGGUAUCAGUUGGUUCAAAAUCAAUAUCGCGAUGUUGUUUGCGGUCUUUUCUUUCUCUGUCUUUCCCUCUAGUUCAUUUUAAUUUAUUUGUAUUCCUUUCUUUGACAUUUUUAUUCAUUUUAUAUAUAUAUAUAUAUUGUUAAGCAAUAGGCAAUGGCUGCAGAAGUGGGUCUGGCUGCUUUUUCCAGCAUCGUAUCAGAAGGUGCAAAGUCACUGUUCAAACCGAUUAUACGGCAGAUCUCUUAUGUGUUCAAGUACCAGAGCUACGUAGAUGAGCUAAAAGAUCAAGUGAAACAGCUGGGAUAUAAAAGAGAAAUGGUGCAGCAACCAGUUAAUCAUGCUAGGCUACAAGGUGAUGAGCUUUAUGAGGGUGUCACAGACUGGCUACAUAGCGUUGAUGAAUUCAUCAGUAAAGGGGUUGCAAAAUCCAUUAUUGAUGAUGAAGAUAGAGCUAAGAAGUCCUGCUUCAAAGGAUCGUGCCCAAAUUUGAUUUCCCGUUACAAGGUCAGUAAACAUGCAGCAAAGGCCGCAGAAGCUGCCGCUAGUCUCAUGGGAAAAGGCAACUUCUCUAAUGUUUCCUACCGUCCUGCUCCAAAGCGGGCAAAACAUAUGCAAGUGAAAGAUUUCGAGGCCUUUGAUUCAAGAAUGAAAGUAUUUCAAGAUGUUAUGGAGGCGUUGAGGGAUGAUAAGCUCAACAUAAUUGGGGUCUACGGGAUGGGCGGCGUGGGUAAAACCACGAUAGUCAAGCAAGUUGCAAAGCAAGUGAUGGAAGAAAACUUGUUCGAUAAGGUCGUUAUGGCUGAGGUAACACAGACCCCAGAUCAUCAUAAAAUUCAAAACAAACUUGCUUUUGAUUUGGGCAUGGAAUUUGGCUUGAAUGAGAAUGAAUUCCAAAGAGCUGAACGAUUACAUAAAAGAUUGAAGAAAGAGAAGCAGCUCCUCAUUAUAUUAGAUAAUAUUUGGACAAAACUUGAGUUGGAUAAAAUUGGAAUUCCAACCGGGGAUGUUGCUGAGAAAGAUAGAAAGGAUGAUCAGAGAAGAUGCACAAUAAUAUUGACGUCUAGAAAGCAAGAUUUAUUGCGCAUUGAUAUGAAUUCUCAGAAAAAUUUCCCGAUCGAUGCUUUGCCACGAAAAGAAGCAUUGCAGUUAUUUGAGAAGAUAGUGGGUGAUUCAACUAAAAUAUCUACUUUUCAAAGUAUAGCAAAUGAGAUCGUUGAAAGAUGCGGAGGUUUGCCUGUUGCACUGAGUACAGUUGCAAAUGCUCUGAAAACUAAGGAGCUUGACUUUUGGAAAGAUGCAUUGAAUCAGCUAAGAAGAUCGGAUGCAAGAGAAAUUCAUGGCAUGCAAGCAAAUGUUUACACCUCCAUAAAAUUGAGUUAUGACUUCUUGGAAAGUGAGGAGGCAAAAUCUUUGUUUCGUCUUUGUGGUCUAUACAGUGAAGGUAAUGUCAUACAAGUUUCUAACUUAUUGAGAUAUGGUGUGGGUUGGGGUUUGUUUGAAAAUGUUUACACAUUAGAAGAAGCAAGGAGUAGAGUGCAUCGGUUGAUCGACAACCUCAAAUCUUCAUGCUUAUUGUUGGGCGGUGAUGCUAAAGAUGAAGUUAAAAUACAUGACGUCAUUCAUGUUGUUGCCGUAUCAAUUGCCGCAGAGAAGCGCAUGUUUAAUAUUCCAAAUGUUGCCGACUUAGAGAAAAAGAUGGAAGAGACAAUACGGAAAGAUCCAAUUGCCAUUUCAUUACCCCAGAGAAAUAUUCAAGAGCUCCCUGAAAGGUUGCAAUGUCCCAAUCUCCAGUUAUUUUUGUUGUUUAGAAAGGGUAAUGGCCCUAUGCAAAUUUCAGACCUCUUUUUUGAAGGGACAGAAGAACUCAAAGUGUUAAGUCUUAUCAGAAUUCCUUUCUCUUCAUUACCUUCGUCACUUGGUCGCCUCAUUAACCUUCAAACAUUGUGUUUAGAUGGUUGCGGACUAAAAGAUAUAGCAAUAGUUGGACAGCUAAAGAAAUUAGAGAUUCUCAGCCUUCGAGAUUCUGAUGUUAAGGAGUUGCCACUUGUAAUUGGACAAUUGACGAGAUUACAGUUGCUAGAUUUGAGCAAUUGUAGCAGCCUUGUGGUGAUAGCUCCAAAUGUCAUAUCAAAAUUAUCUCGAUUAGAAGAACUAUAUAUGGGUAACAGCUUUUCACAUUGGGAGAAGGUUGAAGGAGGAAGUAACGCCAAUCUUGUUGAGUUGAAGGGGUUGUCAAAGCUAACUACUUUGGAGAUACACGUUCGGGAUGCCGAAAUUCUACCGCAGGAUUUGGUCUCUGUGGAAUUGCAAAGAUACAGGAUAUGUAUAGGAAAUAAGUGGUGGAGCAGCUGGUCCGUUAAAUCUGGAUUAUCAAGAUUGAUGAAGCUCCAGGGGCUGGAAAAGUUUGGCAUUCUUUUGCAAAAUUACAGAAUGAAAAUGUUGCUGCAGAGAACUGAAGAUCUCUAUCUAGAAGAACUGAAGGGUGUUCAGAAUGUUGUUCAUGAAUUAGACGAUGGGGAGGGUUAUCCACGAUUGAAGCGUCUUCGUGUAGAAAGUUGUUCUGAGAUUUUACAUAUUGUCGGUUCAGUUAGACGGGUUGGUUGCGAAGUCUUUCCCUUGCUGGAGUCAUUGUCUCUUAUGUUUUUAACUAAUUUGGAGACGAUAUGCUACAGCCAACUCAAUGAAGAUCAAUCUUUCAGCAACUUAAGGAUUAUAUACGUAUAUUGUUGUGACAAACUGAAGCAUCUCUUCUCAUUCUCUAUGGCCAAAAGACUAUUGCGGCUUCAAAAAGUAGAAGUGGAAAACUGCUAUGAUUUGAAAAUGAUUAUUGGUAAGUGUUGAAAUUAAUUAUUGGUAGGAUUAUUGACACUGACUAAUUCUUUUUUUCUUUUUUUUUUUGGUGAAAAAAACAACGGAUGUUUAUAAUAUAUUGUUUUUGUUCAUUUAUAGGGCCCGACAUGGAGAAACCAACAACUACUGAGGGAUUCACAGAAAUCAAUGCAGAGGAUGAUCAGGUGAUAAUUUUCUGUUUAAUAAUUAAUUAAAAAAUAUAUUAUCGCGAUUGAUCUUCAAUCAUCGAAAGAAUAUUAUAUUAGAAGUUGUAGUUGAAGGAACAAAAAUGUACGGUUUUGCUUUGCAGGUUAUUUUUCCACACUUGGAGGAACUGAAACUUGGCCGUUUAAGAAGCAUCAAAAAAUUAUGGCCCGAUCAAUUUCAGGGAAUGAAUUGUUGUCAAAAUUUAACAAAAGUGACCGUGUGGAGAUGUGAUGGUCUGAAGUAUCUGUUUUCAUAUUCUAUGGUUAAUAGUCUUGGGCAACUCCAACAUCUUAAAAUAAGUUUUUGUAAGUCAAUGGAAGGGGUAGUCAACAACACCACGGGGAGGUUAGGAGGAAGAGAUGAAUUUAAGGUUUUUCCUAAACUACACUCCCUGCAGCUCACUGGUCUUCCAAAACUAAGUAGCUUUGCCUCACCAGAAGACGUCAUUCACACUGAAAUGCAACCUCAAUCUUUCUUUGAUGAAAAGGUUUUUUUUUUUUUAAUUAAUUUUAUUCUCAAUAGUUAAUUUCUUCUUUCGUUGAGUCUUCAAAUCUAAUUGUAUUGAAUUUUUAACUUCAGGUACGACUCCCAAGUCUGGAGGUAUUACAUAUUGUUUGGAUGGAUAAGUUGAGAAAAAUAUGGCACCACCAGCUUGCUUCGAAGUCUUUUAGCAAAUUGAAAAAAUUGGAGAUAUCUGAGUGUGAUAAUCUACUGAAUAUUUUUCCUCCAUUGGUAAGAUUGCUCUAUUCAUUUUCAAUUUUUAUUUCAAAUAACAUUCAACAAUUAUUUUAAUCAUUUUUGUGUUUACAAAUAAUUUUCAUUCACAAAUUAUUUAUUGCAAGUAUUGUACUUCAAACUUCUGGAGGGAAAAAAAGUAUUGUACUUCAAAUCACCAUUCUGAACUCUGCAUUUUCAAUCUAAUUUAUAGGUUCACCUGCAUUAAAGUCAACAAUAUAAUUGUUUUAAACACGAUUUAACAGCAUAAUAUAAUUCAAUUUACUUGUUUUUUUUCUUAAAUCCUAAUAAAUAAGAUUUUCAGAAAUUAAAAGAUACUUAGUUACUCAGCUUUUAAGUUCACAAAUUCAUGAUGGUCAUUUUGAAUCGAUCGUCGAUUAAAAAGUUUCCUCAAAUAUUCACUCUAUAACAGUCCCAUGUUGAUGGCGUUAGGAAGUGUUUUCCAAAAAUGUUUUCCAUUUUUAAAAGCAUGAAUAUCGGGAAAAAAUGGGAAAUACAGCGUUUUAGUUUAGUUAUUUUAAAAAUAGGCAUGUUUGAAAAUUAAAAUUUUUUAAAAACUAGCAUCAAGAUGAAAAAUGAAUUUAGAAUAUUUAAAAAUUACCUGAAAUUCUUUCUCUAUUCCUAAUACUAAAUAGUGUAAAUACAUUUUCAUUAUCUUUAUUUUUCUGGACUUCUAUUUAUUUAUUUUUGUUUUAAUUUUUUCCUUUUUUCUUUAACAAAAAAUAUCUAGUAGACAUUCAUGGUUUGUUAUUUUUCAUAAAACAAUUGUAUGAUUUUGACAUACUUUGAAUCUAGUUGAAUGCUACUCUUUAUUUUCAGGUUGGAAUUCCCAAUAGUCUAGUGAAUCUUAAUGUAUCAUACUGCAAAAAAUUAGAAGAAAUCAUAGGACAUGUUGGAGAAGAAGCGAAGGAGAAUCGUAUUGCUUUAAGUGAAUUAAAACUUUUGGAACUUGAUCAUUUACCAAGGCUUGCCAGCUUUUGUUUGGAGAAUUACACUCUUGAAUUCCCAUCAUUGGAACGAAUUUCAACGACACAGUGUCCGAGCAUGAAGACUUUUUCUCAGGGAACCUUAUCCACACCAAAGCUGCACGAAGUGCAGGUGAGUAAAAAGGAAGUAUUAAUUUACCAAGCCUUUUUAUAUGUGCAUAGAAGAUUCUACACACAUUGCACACACGCACAGUUUACUACUAACAACCUCUAUAACAACCUUUAGCUGACUCAGCUGCCAUGUCAGCAUACUCAUUAACUAACUAAUUCUAUUCUUAACAGGAAGAGGGUGGAUUGCGCCGUUGGGAAGGCAACCUUAAUUCCACUAUACAAAAGUGUUACGAAGAAAUGGUAUGUGUUAAAUCGAUUCGUCGAAAUUACUUAUGCAUCUCCCUUGCACUUGCACAUUUAAGUAUAUACACCUGCCUUGUAUAUAUAGUUUUAGAAGUUAAAACACAAAACAUGUAAGUUUAAUGUACAUAUAUCUAAUGCCUUUCAAAAAGAAAAAAAUUUAUAUAUAUCCAGUGCAAUUGUUUUGGUUUGUGCAGAUUGGAUUCCAUGACAUACAGUAUUUGCAACUCUCACAUUUUCCACGUUUGAAAGAAAUAUGGCAUGGCCAAGCACUGCCUGUCAGCUUCUUCAACAAUUUAGUAGUGCUCACGGUGGAUGACUGCACGAAUAUGUCGAGUGCUAUUCCUGCCAAUCUGCUACGGUGCUUGAACAAUUUGGAAUGGCUGGAAGUGAGGAAUUGUGAUUCACUAGAAGAGGUGCUUCAUUUGGAAGAGCUAAAUGCUAAGGAAGAACAUAUAGGCCCCCGGUUUCCUAGGCUUAACAGACUAAGGCUCAUUGAUCUUCCAAAACUCAAAAGAUUCUGCAACUUCACUGGGAAUAUAAUUGAACUGCCUGAGUUGAGAUAUCUAACUAUUGAGAAUUGCCCUGAUAUGGAAACAUUCAUAUCCAACUCUUUAGUGCACGUGACAACAGAUAACAAGAAACCUCAAAAAUUAACAUCAGAAGAGAACUUUUUGCUGGCUCAUCAAGUACAACCUCUCUUCGAUGAAAAGGUGAUUAUUAUUAUUAUUAUUAUUAUUAUUAUUAUUAUUAUUAUUAUUAUUGUUAUUAUUAUUAUUAUUAUUAUUAUUUUUCCCUUCACUUUCGUUCGCAUAGAUGUAAUUUCAUUAGAAUCAAGCCAAAUUUAAUGACUCAUCUUUUUGCAUGUCAUCUUAAUUUAUAUCUGAUUUAACAAUAUAACCGCAGUUAUUAACUAUCUUUAUAGUAUGAAUUAUAAAAAUGUCUGAAAUUAAUUGGAUGCCUGAUAACACGAGGUGAUGAACUAUAUUAAUUAUGUGUGUUACAUCUCUGUUUUCCUAGCUAAUUCAUAUUGGAUUUAGCCUCAGAUUUCAUUUAUGUGUUUCAAAGAGUAAGCGAUUUGAUACUUUUAUUUGGGAUCCUACUGCAAAGCAUACUAAUUUGGAAAUAAAAUAUAAAAUGCCGUGAUCAACCUUGUCCAUAAAAUAUGCAGGGGAAGACGGCAGAGAUUGGAUACAUAUUUUCAUUUACAACUUAAUUUUGUUGAUUUUCAGGUUGCAUUCCCUAAAUUGUGGGGGUUAAAGCUGUCUAGAUUACCCAAUGUGUUGCAUUUCUGGAAGGAAAAUGCCGAAUCCAACAAAGUGUUUGCAAACUUGGAAACUCUAGAAAUAUCGGAAUGCAGUAAGUUGCAAAAAUUAGUACCACCUUCAUGGCAUUUGGAAAAUCUUGCGACUCUGGAAGUAUCGAAAUGUCACGGGUUGAUAAAUUUGUUGACGCUCUCAGCAUCUAAAAAUCUAGUGACUCUUCAAAGAAUGAAGAUAGCUGAUUGCAAAAUGAUAGAACAAAUCAUACAAUUGCAGGUUGGAGAAGAAGCGAAAGGUUGCGUUGUCUUCGAGGAAUUGGAGUACUUGGGACUUGAUUGUUUGCCAAGCCUAACAAGCUUUUGUUUGGGUAAUUACGCUCUUGAAUUCCCGUCCUUGAAACAAGUAGUUGUGAGACAGUGUCCAAAAAUGAAGAUCUUCUCUCAAGGAGUCUUAGACACACCAAUGCUAAACAAAGUGAACGUCACCGAAGAAGAAAAAGAUGAUGAUGAAGAAGAUGAUGAUGAUGAUGAUGAUGAUGAUGAUGAUGAUGAUGAUGAUGAUGAUGACGACGACGACGACGACGAUGAAGAAGAAGUAGAUGAUGAUGAUGAUGAUGUUGGGAAGGCAACCUCAAUGACACCAUAAAAAAAUUGUUCAAUGAAAUGGUGAGUAUCAAUUAAGUUUUGGUGCUAUUUAGCAAAUAAUUUUAUAGAAACCAAUGUGAUAUAAUAUGAUUGGUUGACUGAAAAUAUAUAAUAAUAAAAAAUAAAUAAAUUAUGAGGACCAUGUAAUGUUUUUGUUUAACUAAUCAUAUUAUAUCGCAUCAGUUUAUACAAUAUUGUUUGUGCACAAGAGGUGGUGGUCAUAUAAUUACUCUAGCUUUAUUAUUCUUAUGGUGGCAAUGUAUGCUUGCUUACACGAGUAAUUACAAAAUCUGCAGAAUUCUAAAGAAGAGAUUGAGCCAAUCCUUCAGGUACAGUGAAGAAGCUAUCCCGAACCAGGCCAAUCUCUUAUACAUGAUUUAGCUUGCUCGUUCUUCUGUACUUGAAUAAUUUGGUUCUACACAUAUUUACAAUUUUUUGCUCAUGCUACAGACUUGCAAGACACUUUGGAUUUUGUUUGAUGUAUUCUCUGUUUAAGAAAGGACUUGAAUUGAUGUUUCAUGUUUCAUGUUUCAUGCAAUAUUCGAUUAGAUUCUGCCUAAAUUUCUGUAUUAUUCAUUCAAUUGGUCUUUUAAGCAUUUGAUUUCUAACCUCUCCUGAUAGAAGAUCAUUAGCCAAAGAAAACAGCAUAAAAUUUGUGGCAUUAUGAGAAUAAGAAUUUUUUUAAGUAUAGUAAAAUUAUCUCAACCAUUGUUAAAAAUAAUUAAUCCGUCAAACUGACCUUCUCACACCAACAUGCUUUAAAUUAAAAGAAUUUCGUGAAAGUCAAGACCAUGUUAUAGAUCUCGUGGAAAUAAGUAAACCCGUAAUUUUUUUCACAGCAUCAUAAGAAAAAAUCAUUUUUUAAAAGUAUUUUUGUUAGCUGUUGAGUUUUAAUAGUAGUAGCUAUUAAACAAUAACAAUUAGUGUAUAUUAAAAAGUUGGAAACCGGUUGACACCACUCGGGAAUCGAGCAGUUCACUUGUUUGCGAGUAGAAACCAACUUUACUACUAUUUACAAUCAUACCAAAAAUAGUAACUAAAGAAUCAGGAAAUUUCCUAUUCACUAUUCUUCAUUUUUUAAUGCAAAAUUCCCAUUCGAAAACACCAAUGACUUUCAUUCAAAGUAAAUGAGAAAUUACAAUGAAAAUAGAAUCAAAAUACAUGUAUGUAUACCUAAAACAAAUGAUUUUUUUUAAUUAAAAAAAAAAAGCACAGUUGAGGUGAAAUGAAACCAGAGUCAUGAUAUCUCUGGUUCCAGCUUUGGGACAACAGCAGACUUGAGUUCUAUAUGAGAAACACGUACAGCACCAAUCAGCCGCUCCGGUAAUUCAGCUGUAGUAUUUGCCUGCAUACAGAAGAGCAAGAUAAAGAAGACACACACAGAAGCAUUAUAUCAUUCUGAGAACAUUCAAGUAUGCAAAAAUGCAAGUGGCAGUGCAAUAUCUCAAAAUCAUGUCUUUUCCCUUGUGUCCAUUUAGCAGUGGGGGAAAAAAACAAUCAUACAUACCUGUACAAGGAAAGCCAUAUCAACCACCAAUGUCGUAAUUACACCAAUUACAAGGCCCAAAACUCCAUUAGCAACAGUAGAAGAAUCGAUGUCAACAUCAAUCUACAGAAAGAUGAACAAUGUUAAACCUUUUUAAAGGUAUUGGACGCUAUUUGAAAGGGGAACAUCUCAUGUACUAUAGAAAUUCCAAGAGCAUUUACUUCUAAGUACUUGGGACCGCGAAUAUAGUUACAAUCAACUGCCUUCCCCAAUAAACAAGGGGUGAUUCCAACACUCUGGCGCACUAUCCAUGAACCCUGCAUGAUUCAGUGCUUAAAAUCAAGAACAAGUGCAAAACAAAUUCAAGAGGGUAAAAAGGACAUAAAGUUUGAAGGUACAACCCAUCAAUACAUUCACACCUAAAUGCAUGCCUUCUUUGUACAAAUUGAAGUGUACCAUGCAGUAAAGGGUAAGUAUACGUUAAUAUAGUCCUACUACAUGAAGGCCAAGAUGGAUACCUUAGGAACAUAUGGAAUAAGUUUCAACCUACUAUUGCGAAAUUCAUCAUCGCCAUCAACAAACCGUUGCAAAAGUGAUCCCGUAACCAAUUGCCUUGUAACAAAAUAAAAUACCAUACUAUAAUGUGUUGAACCAGGAACCUGCAGAUGCUUAGGUUACAACUAUACAACCUCCCAAUACAAUAAGUUUGAAACUUAUACCUUCUGAAAUGAAACAAACUUUCUUGAAGAUUAAAGAUCAGUGAGAAAAGCCCUUUUUCAGAAGCAACCUACAUAUUUUAGAAUAGGGCUCAGUGCGUUAUAGAUUCAAUGAACCAUGAGAAGUUAUUUACAUUGUUGUAUCUCACAGGCAGUAUUUUCUCCUAAUGUAUCAAUGGAAAAUGCUAGUGAAUUGAAUGAAGCUAGAGCAGAGCAUGAUGUUGCUGUGUAGCUGACUUUAGCAGAUCAACUCACUAAGCUGACCUGGCAAAGUUAUUUAGCUAGUUGAGCUGAUGUGUCAAAUUAGUUAUGCAGCAAAUGGUUAUGUGAUGUAACAAACUCGUGUGUGUGUUGAGCAAAUUGUAGCUUAAUAUAAAUAUCAGUCUAUAUUCAUUCAGUUGUAAUGCUAAAGUAAUAAAGGUUCUACAAACUUCUUUACAGAGCUUUCUUUUAUUUUCUUCAUUUUCUAGCUUGCCAAACAAUACAAAACUAAGUUUCUUUCAUGGUAUUAGAGCCAUAAAUGGCGAAUACAGUUCAAAAUAACAACUCUUUUAGUUUUGUUACGCCUGUAAAGCUAGACCAAAACAACUUCAUUUUAUGGCGCGCACAAAUUUUAGCAUCGAUCUAAGGAAACGGUCUGGAAGGGUUUAUCAAUGGUGAUCAAGAAUGUCUUGAGCAGUUUCUUUCUUCUGGAAACAACAAUGGAGCUGAAAUUUUAACUGAAUCUGAAUCCAAAUCUAUUAAUCCAGAGUUCAUAGCUUGGAUGAAGACUGAUCAACUUCUGUUGAGUUGGAUGAUGUCGUCGAUACAGCAAAAUCUACUUGCUACUGUGAUUGACUCCACAACUUCAAAACAGCUCUGGGAGACUCUUACUAGUAUGUUUAUUUCUUAUCUUAAUCACAAGCUAGAAUUCAAACACUUAGAAUGCAGAUUCAAACUAUUAAGAAAGGUGCAAUGCAUAUGUCUGAUUACUUUGCAAAAGUAAAAUGUAUAGCUGAUACUUUAGCUCUAGCUGGAAAACCUGUUGAGUUAAGUGAUCUUGUGAUGCAUGUAUUAACUGGUCUUGAUUCAUCAGAUUAUGAAUCUUUAGUCACAGCUGUUUUAGCUCAAGGUGAGAAGAUAACAUUAGAUGAACUAUAUCCUUUGCUAUUGAAUCAUGAAAAUAGAGUUGAGCAAAAGAAAGGAAAAAUUGCUGGUGAUGUGAUGCACAAUAUGACAGCAAAUAUUGCUCAGAAGAACUCAUAUGCUGGAAAGAAUAAUGGCAAUUUUCAAAAAAAUUAUGGAAAUAAUUCUGGAGGUGGAAAUAAUUCUAGGUAUGGAGGUUUUAGUGGAUAUGGAUAGGGUCAGUUUAAUAAUGGUGGUAAUUCCUCUGAAAUUGUUUGUCAAAUCUGCUUCAUACCUGGUCAUGCAGCCAAUAGAUGCAAAAAUAGGUACAAUUCAUCUUUUGUUCCACAGAGAAACUAUGGCAGAGGUAAUAUGAAUGGUGGCAGAGGUUUUAAUCAAGGGCAAUAUGGUAGAGGAAGAGCUUUUAAUGGUAAUGGUGGCAGAGGUUUUGGAGGUUUUGGUUUAAAUGCUGGUUUUGGCUAUGCACCCAGGGGUUUUGGCUAUCAAGGAAAUAUAGUGUAUCCAGAUAGUAAUCCUUCUGCUUAUUACUCAUUCACCCCUGGACCAUCUACUUUUGUUUCUAGUCAAGGAAAUAAUAAUCCUGGACAGUCAAGUGCUUCAUCUUCCUCAGCUAUGCCUUCUUCACUUCCACCAGAACACAUUGAAGAUCCUUCAUGGUAUAUUGAUAGUGGGGCAACAAAUCACAUUACAAAUGAUCUAGGUAAACUUCUGGAUUCACAAGUUUAUACUAGUACUGAAAAAUUGUUUGUUGGAGAUGGAAAUGCAUUAGCUAUUACACAUGUAGGAUCAGUUGUGCUAAAUACUUCAACUUCUAAACCUUUAAGAACCAUGUUCUUCAUGUCCCUUUUAUUACUAAGAAUUUGCUUAGCAUUUCAAAAUUAUUGGCUAACAAUCCAGUUACUGUUGAAUUUCUUAGUGAUUUGUGUUUUAUAAAGGCUAGGAACACAGGGAAAAUUUUACUUGAAGGUGUUGCUAAAGGUGACUUGUAUAGAGUCUCUUCACAUGUUGCUGCUCAUUCAGUCUUUCUCAAUUCAGUUGGUCAAAAUAAAGUUCACUCUCUUUGCUUGUUCUCCUGUUUUCAAUUCUGAUCAGCUCACUGCUGUUAGUUCUUAUGAAUUGAAUAAAAAGUCAUGUCUGUCAAUUGUUACAAAGAGUUCUAUUGAUGUAAAUCUUCUUCAUAGAGAAAUUAGGACGCCCAGCAUCUUAUACUCUCAAAACUAUACUCAAAACUUGUAACAACUCUACUGCUUAUAAUAAAAUUGAAAGCUUGAAAUUUUGUUCAGCAUGUCAAUAUGGGAAAAAUCAUAUGCUGCAUUUUGAUUCAGUUGAAACAAAAACUUCAGCACCCUUAAAAGUGAUAUAUGCAGAUCUUUGGGGUCCUUCUCAUGUAUGUUCUACCCAAGGAUAUAAUUACUACUUAUCAAUCUUAGAUGAUUAUAGUAGAUUUACCUGGAUAUUUCCAUUGUCAGCCAAAUCUGAUGCUCUUGAAGUGUUUACCAAUUUCAAAAUUUUUAUUGAAAAGCAUCUUCAACUUCAAAUCAAAACUGUCCAAACUGACUGGGGAGGAGAGUUCAGAACAUUUUCCUCAUUACUCAAUGCUUCUGGUAUCCAUUUUAGACACCCUUGCCCACAUAUUCAUCAUCAAAAUGGAAGAAUUGAGAGGAAACAUAGACACAUAGUUGAUGUAGGUCUGACCUUAUUAGCUCAAGCACAUUUACCACUCAAAUUUUGGUGGAAUGCAUCCCACACAGCUGUCUAUUUGAUAAACAGACUUCCAACUCCAAUUCUAAACAACAUUUCUCCUUUCCAAAAGUUAUUUCAUCAUCAACCAGAUUAUUCAACACUUAAAACCUUCGGUUGUGUUUGUUAUCCAACACUCAGACCAUACAAUAGACAUAAGUUUGAUUUCAGAACUACAAGAUGUAUAUUCAUUGGCUACAAUUCACAACACAAGGGAUAUCAGUGUCUUCACUCUUCUAAGAGGGUUUACAUUUCAAAUCAUGUCACCUUUGAUGAAAAUUCUUUUCCUUGUGAGUCUGGAGCAGAUUUUCUUCACUCUCUUCAAGUUGUCAGUCAACAAAAAAUUAUAAGUCUUCUUUCAAUUCCUCUGUUCCUUCUGUUACUCAGUUACAAGCACCUUUAGCAGCAUCAUCAGAACACCAUCAAAAUGUUCAUCAUUCAGAUGCUCCUACUCCCUCACCAAAUUCUACUCCACUUUAUUUUUCUGAUAAUUCCAACUCAGCUUCUUCUUCUUCACCACCACAUAAUUCACCUCCACAUACAUUGCCACAACCUGCAUCAACUGGUCAUCCAAUGAUAACCAGGUCAAAAGCAGGUAUUUUCAAGCCAAAAAUUUAUUUGUCAGCUUUAUUAGCCUAGAAAUCAGAACCAACUUCUGUUUCCCAAGCACUUUCUAAUCCUAUGUGGUAUAAGGCUAUGCAAGAAGGGUAGCACUUAAAACUAAUCACACCUGGGAUUUAGUUUUACCUGCUACUCCAGUGAAGAUAGUUGGCAGCAAAUGGGUGUUUCGAAUAAAGUACAACUCAGAUGGUUCAAUUUCAAGAUAUAAAGUCAGGCUUGUUGCAAAGGGGUUUCAUCAAACACAUGGGAUUGACCAUACAGAAACUUUUAGUCCAGUGGUUAAAGCUUCAACUGUUAAGAGUUAUUCUUAGCUUAGCAGUAUUGAAUCAAUGGGUGAUUAGGCAAGUAGAUGUUAAUAAUGCCUUUCUAAAUGGCAUUUUAAUUGAAGAGGUGUACAAGGCUCAACCUGAAGGUUUUGUUGACUCAACUAAACCUAAUCAUAUCUGCAAGCUGAAUAAAGCUUUGUAUGGCUUAAAACAGGCACCUAGAGCCUGGUUUGAUAGAUUCAAGGAUGCAAUGAUCUCUAAACGGCAUUUCCAACAUUCAAGGUCUGAUAACUCUCUGUUUCAUGCCUGGAACAGUGGUCAUCUAACUCUUGUUUCGGUCUAAGUUGAUAUUAUCAUCACUAGUUCCAGUCCAACACUAAUUCAGCAAGUUAUUCAGAGUAUGAAUCAAGCCUUUGCUUUAAAAGACAUGGGGGAACUUAGCUAUUUUCUGGGGAUUGAAGUCAGCAAGUCUUCACAAGGGGUUUCCUUGACACAAGCAAAGUAUAUUACUGACAUUCUGGAUAAACAUGGCAUGACAGAUUGCAGUCCUGUGCCUACUCCAAUGUCUACUGGUUAUUAUCUCACAAAAGAAUCAGGAGAGCUAAUUGAUAAUGUUUCUCAAUAUAGGAGUGUUAUAGGAGUUCUUCAAUAUGUUACUCUUACCAGACCUGACAUUGCUUUCUCUGUAAACAAGCUAAGUCAAUUCCUUUCAAGUCCUAGAACACAACAUUGGGAAGCAUGCAAAAGGUUAUUGAGGUACUUAAAAGGCACUAUAUAUCUUGGGCUGCAAUUUAAUAACAAAGGAGCUUUGCAACUACAUUGUUUUUCAGAUUCUGACUGGGCUUGUGAUCGUGAUGAUAAGAAGUCAGUGGCUGGCUUUGCUGUUUACCUAGGCCCUAAUCUAGUCUCAUGGUCAUCAAAGAAACAAGCUGUUGUUUCUAGGUCCAGCACAGAGGCUGAGUAUAGAUCUCUUGCUCAUGCUGCUUCAGAGGUUCCCUGGAUAUAAUCUUUACUUGGUGAACUUAACAUCAAAUUGAGCUCUACUCCUAUGAUGUGGUGUGAUAAUCAAGAAGCAAUUGCUUUAGCUUACAAUCCAGUCUAUCAUGCUAAAACUAAGCAUGUCGAAUUGGAUAUACAUUUUAUCCGAGAUAAAGUUACUGCUAUAGAGAUUGAAAUAUGUUUUGUGCCCAGUCAAGAUCAAACAGCAGAUGUGUUGACUAAGGCUUACUUUCAAACAGUUUAGUUACUUAAGAAGGAAGCUGAAUGUUCAUCCUAAACAUUUUAGCUUGAGGGGGGAUGUUAGUGAAUUGAAUGACGUUGGAGCAGAGCAUGAUGUUGUUGUGUAGCUGACUGUAGCAGAUCAACUCACUAGGCUAACCUGGCAAAGUUAGUUAGCUGGUUGAGCUGAUGUGUCAAAUUAGUUAUGCAGCACUUGUGUGUGUGUUGAGCAAAUUGUAGCUUAAUAUAAAUAUCAGUCUGUAUUCAUUCAGUUGUAAUGCUAGAGUAAUAAAGGUUCUACAAACUUCUUUACAGCGCUUUCUUUUAUUUUCUUUCAUUUUCUAGCUUGCCAAACAAUACAAAACUAAGUUUCUUUCAGAAAAGGAAAAAUAAAAAGAAAAGAAUAGUUACUUGUGCAGUACAGCCUUGACGCCUAGCUACAUGGUCCAUUCUCUUUGUGUCUUUGAACCAAUCAACAGCAACAAGAUCCAUUAAAUGUUUUCCCGCAGGUAUCUGCAGUUACAAAUUGCACAAAGCACAAGAGCCAACCAAACUACAUCAUAACCUGUCGACCUAGCAUAUGCAGGAUAUAUAAAUACCAUAACAAACAACCAAAAUAUGGGGGAACCUUUGUUUUGUCAUAACAAAAAUGCUUGCUACGAACUCUAAAGUUAUUUCCACCAGAAAGUUUCCAGCAGUCACGAGCAUUAUCACAGUCAUCGUGUCGCAGGUUGCCUGAAAAAUAAGACAAAUCAAUUUGAUCAGCCUGCUCUUCCUCUAGGGUAGCAACUAAUUGAAAAUUAUAAACCAAAAAAAAAAAAAAAAUCAAUACCAUAAAAAUCCACUAAUGAGGACAUUAGCCAAAUAUACAAAAAUGAAUACUUAUCAUCCACCUGUCCUCUUGAAAUCAUUCUCAAUCUUUUUUUCAUUUGUCUGAAAUCCCAAGGAAAAAUAUGUAACUAAUACUUCCCAUUCAUGACUAUUGUCUGUCAUAUAAACAUGACAUUUAAUUGAAAUAGUAAAAUUAUUUAAUUAUUUUAAUUAACUGUUAAUCCUAUAAAUUAUUUUUGUUAAAUCUAGCAAGAAUAACUAACAUUUCUUUAAGAUAUAUUUUGGCGGUAAAUUAAAAAAAAAUUAAUUAUUUGGCGGGAAUUAUUGAAAUUGGAGCCAUUUUUUUGUGGGAAUUGAAAUAUAUUCUUUAAAUUAUUAUAUAAAAAGCAAAAUGUACAUACACACACAUAUAUAUAAUUUAUAUAUAAAAAUUCUCUAAUUUGUUCACAAGUAUCAUAGAUUAUAAUUCAGUUAUGAAAUAAAAUAACUACAAUAAUUAUAGUUAAGUGAAUACUUCAUUAAUUCUUAAUUUGCUUCCUAACAUUAAAUGAACUUGAGUCAGCCACCUGAAUCAACCAGUAACAACGCCUGAGUCAACCAUCUGAAAAAACCAGCAACCCUAGCUGAUUCAAGCACCUGCAAUUAACAUCAACACAACAGGAACAAUCGUAAAUCAGCACCAAGAACAGACCAAACCGCCAUCAAAUGCCACAAAACCAAACAGUCUGCUACUGCCAUCAAAUGCAAGCAAGCAUAUGCAACAAAACCAGAUGCAAGUGAAAUUCUGGAGAAUAUCGGAUAAACCAAACCAAAUGCCACACUUCUAGUAAUUAGACUAGAUGCAGUGUUCAAUUAAACUAAAUGUAGUCUCAUAUUACAUUCAAAUUUUCUAAAAAAACCAGUGUUCCAUCAGAGAAGCACCAAAACCAAACCAAUCUAAUCCAGCAUAAUUACCAGCUCAACCCAAAACAAUUACACAUUAUAUUGACAUAUCAAAAUUCGCUAUCAAAACAUAGCCAAAUAAAUGACAAUAAACUGAAAACAGACCCGAACCAACUGAUGUUGCAGCCCUAGUAGUCAUUGUCCGUUCCACUGCCAUAGGAGCGAGGGUAGGCUCCGUUGUUGAUGAGUGAGUAAGAUAAGGCUCCAAAUCAAUAGUUCCACCUCCUUUCUGCAAUUCAAAAAACAGAAAUUCAUAUAUGUAAAACUAUUAAAAAGUGUGAAACAACCUGUAAGUAUUCAACUUCUGUCAACUCAAUAGCACUUACUAAAGUUUUUAUACAGAAGAAAAAGGCAUUUUAAGUCCAAAAAAUUAGAAUUAUUGGUUGAACUCCAACUCCAUCAAUCCAUGCAACCAUCGAACCUUUAACGAAAAAAUGAAGCAUAAUUAACAAGACAUCUGAAUCAGAAAGAUUGUGCUUUGAUUUGGCACGAGGUGUUGGAAACAACUUAACAAAUCUAGACACAAUCUAUAACCAUCAAGUCCAAACAAAAGUCAGGAUCUAAAAUACUUUGAAAAAUCAGAAAAACCGCAAACUAUCAGUUUCAAUUUCUUUUUCACCCAUUGUAAGCUCAAACUGAAGGUAGCGGCGCUACCUUUAAACAUCAUUUGGGCUUAUACAUGUGACAUUUGCUCAUGAACAACUAAAGUUGAAUAAGAUUUUUAUAUGAAACGGAAUAUAAAAAGUCAAAGUAGAAUAUGACAGGAGCUACAAUAUAUUAUUCAGCAUUAGCAUUAUGUAUAAAAUAAAUUUAGAGGCAUCAUAUUCAUUCACAAUCUUGCAGAGGUAAUACCAGAUUAUGGCACGCAACUCUUGAAUAGCAGAUAAAGGAGGAGAUGCAGUAGGAAGGUAGUAACUUGCUUGCAUGAGAACUAAAAAGUAAUCUCCCAAGAUCAAUUAUAGAUCUCAUAAAACAAAAACAGUGAGGCAAACACAAUUAUUGUGAACAAUUAUUCAUAGAACCACAUACCAGCAACAAGAUCAAAGUCAUCUGUGUAUAAAUCGAUUCCCCACAGCUGACUGCCUCUGACCUAAACAUAAUGAAAUUACAUAAAUAAGAAGUAGAGUCAUAAAAUAUGCUGCUGUAACAGCUAUCAAUAAAUUUCCAGACAAAUGGAAUUUGAUAUGUAAGGCUAUAACUAGCAACACUUCAAAAUAAUUUGAAGUAGCAUGAUCUUACUUUAAGGAUCAAUACUACAAUCUUUCAGAAAAAUUAAAGUCUAACCAAAAUUAAAACCUUAAACAUACUAAAAUCUGGUAAAUAGACCUAUAGGAAUUCCAAUGACCUCCAAAAUAUUUGAAAAAAAAAUUAAUUUACAGCAAAAAAUGUUAAAGAUUUGUAAAAUGGAGGCCCACACUACUAUUCAAAUUACAAAAGAGGAAAGGGAGCUGGCCAUUAAAUGAUAAAGGCAUGCAUAAAGAAAUACGAGCACCACAUUAAGUGAUAAAGGCAUGCAUCGAGAAAUACAAAAAAUAUGCCCAUAAAGACGUCCACUCAAGCCUUAUAAGCGGCUUUAUGCAAAGGAAAGCCAAUUAGUUAACAGUAAAUGAAUUUCAAGGUGCAAUAAUUAAACUCCCUGAUCAGCACAUUUAAGGUUCAUGCAUUUCUACAAAACAUGUAAAUCAUAAGAACUUUUUUGGUCCAAAUGCUAACCAGUAAUUAAGUAGAUUAUCAAAGUUGUCACAGAACAAGCACCACAUUGAUUGCUAUGCAAAAGAUGAAAGUAAAAGUUAAUACUUUAUUUUAUUUUACUUUUCGAGAGUUUUGAUCAUCAUGUGCAAAAUAGUAGUAUAACUUGCUCAGUGUUAUCUCAAAAAGCUUGCUUAAAAUACCUAUUAGCACCAGUCCAAGUUGUCAAAUAAAUCCUUAUCUAUCCAUUCAUCUCUGACCUUGCCAAAAAGAUUUAAACGAGCAUCUAUAUUCUCACUCCAAUCUUUCACAAUCAUAGGCUUUAACUUAGACCAGUUCUUCAAUAUCCCUUCCACUGUGAGCCCCUCGAAAACCUUGUAAAUUGAAUCACAUUUAUCAUCAGUUCCAAAUCCAUCUGUCAAAAGGCUAAGCAAAUGAAUAUACAAUCAACACCAUUCUUCCAAACGAAUAUACAGUCAACACCAUUCUUCUAAACACAAACAAAGUUUGAACGUAUGACAGAUUUUUAGCCAUUUAAUAUUCCAUCAAAUAUAAUUAGAUCACACCUACCAAGGAUUUUUGAAAAGAAUGCAUUCUCAUCUUAAGCAGCAACCUCACCAGUAACACAUUUUCAUACCCUGUUUCCACCUCUGGUCGCACCACCAAAAAAAAUUCAGUACUAAUUAGCUUCAACAGAGUCUAUUUUUUAUUUCUUUUUUUUCCGAAAUAAACCUCCAUUCUUAUACAUAAAAUUAAAAUAUCAAUUAAAUAAACAAGGUCUAUGCUUACUAGUAAAACACGUCCAUUUUCAGGUAGAGGCAGAUAAUAAAAGAAAAUUAAAAUUGAGAUAAAAUAAGAAGAGCUUACUAUGUGCAUUUGAUCAACAAUCCAAUCCUCAACGAUGGAAUCGAUGCCAUCAAAUAAACAUGACUUAAUCUUGAAACCAUAAACUGCACUAAGCAUAGCACCAAAGCCAGAGCGUGACUAUAAAGAAGAAAAAUAAAAAGAAGGAAAAGAAGAAUUAAAUCAACAUGAAAUUGAACUUUUGUUUUAUCUUCCACAAGCAAGAAAUUCAACUGGAACAAUACAAAAUAUGAAAUUUUUAGCAAUCUUACUAGCAUUAUGCACAAAUCUCAAUUCACGACAAAUAGGGGAAUGAAUCACUAACAUCACUCAAUUCAUAUAUUCAAAUAAUGUAUCCCCACUCCUAACAAGCAACGUGCUACCACAGUCGAUUAGUUGUUAGGGUUAAGGCUUACCAUAGAGAACUGGAUGGCGCUAACUAAAUGACAAGUUGAAACGGCAUCUGCAAUCGUAUUGAAUGACAUUGAACCGCGAGGUAGGGUUUAAAUGAAUACCGGGCAGAGAUAAAUUGGUGUGGUGAAUUAGGGUUUUGUGGCUACGUUUUAUUUCGAUUGAAAAAAGGAAUUUGAGCCAGGCUUUAAUAUGUAAAUUUUCGCUUAGUUGAAACAGAGGAAAGCUUUUGGGUUAUUAAAGUGAAAGAUAUGGAAUAAUACAAAAAAUUAUUGAAGUGAAAGAGCAGGAAUACAAAAAAUCAGCAGAUGAGAUCGUUGAAGAUGCGGAGGUUUGUAUAUAAAUAUUAAAUUGAUCGUUGAAAGAUGUAUAAACCUCCAUAAAAUUGAGUUACGACUUGAAGGAUUGUAUAUAAACAUUAAAUUGGUCUAAUUUAACUUGUAUGUAAACAUUAAAUUCUAUAUAAAUACACAGAACAGAACCAUAUCAGUGUUGGAAAAAAAAAAUCCAGAGUUACAUAAAUUCAAUAAAAAAUUAUUGAAUUUUUUAUUACUAACUUUGAACACUCUAAUUUCAAUAAAAAAAUUAUAUUACUAAAAUAGUCUUAAUUGAAUUUACUAUUAAAGACAUUAGAAUAACUCAAUACUAAUAUUCUCAAAUAUAUUUCUCUCCAUAGUCUAAUCUAAUUCAUUCUAAGAAUCCUAUAGAAAAUCUAUUAUUUACUUUUUCCUUAUUAAACAGAAAAACAUGUCAUUUGUUGCUAACUAACAUUUUAGAACUAACAACAGCAGAUUAAAUAAAAUUAUCAGAAAAAGAAAUCAAACAGGAUUUUGAUCGUCGUCAUCUUCACUCUUGCCUUUUUCUUUUUCUUCACACAUGUGGCUUGCGCACACAUCCCCUCUCUCAUCCUUAGGGCCGCCCUUCAACAAUAUCCAAUCAUCGAUUAUAAUUAUUUAGAUUGACCAAAUCAAGCUUUGAUAAGAUAUUGGUUGAGAUUAGAAGUAGGCAGCCAGCAACGACAAUACUAAUUAAUAUCUCAUGAGAAUUUUAAAGAAGAAUCUAACGUUGCCCAAUUCGUUUGAUUUCAAUGAAGUCUUUCUCCUACCUAUACUUUCGCAUAUUCUCUUUUAUUUCCAAAGUUAAGGUUAUGGAUGUUGUAGAGUUAAAAGCUGAACAUUGCUAGGAAAGCAAUAAAAGGAAAUAAAUAAAAAUUAAAAAUAUAAAAAGAGUUAAGUCUUUUUUUUUUGUCUAUUAGUGUUUUUGUAUUUAAUAACGAAAGAAAAAAAUAAAGUAAAUAUUAUCUGUUAGAUUAUUAAAAUAACACUUGUCCAAAUCUCAAUAUCAUGAUAUUAGGGAAAUUUUUAAUUAAUAGAUCUUCAUUUUUAAUUAGUAGAUAUUGUUUAAUGUAUAAUAUCAUGAUAUUAGGGAAAUUUUUAAUGAAUAGAUCUUCAUUUUAGGCUAAAGCACCCAUACAGUAGUCCCCCCUACGUACUGCGAGCUUACUACAAAAGAUAAGACUAUUUAGUUGUGGGACAAAUAAAGAGGGAAAGUUAAAUAAUAUAAUUCAUUUGUUAUUAUGAACUAACCAACUCAAAACAAAAAGGAUUGAUAAUACAGUUCAAAAUGCAUGCAACAAUGGUGUAUUUAAAAUGGAACUAAUGCACAAAUAAAAUUUAUGCAUCUCUUUGAGGAAGGCUUUUAGGGCAACAAAUGAAAAUAGUGAGCUCGCAUUUUCUGUUAUCAUUCUCACCACUUGAAAAAGAGAGAAAAAAAACUGAGAGGAAAAACAGGGCUCCCUUGUUUUCAUUCCCUAUUUUUUCAGUUUGGGAAUUGCAAAUAACUUCUUUACUUCUCUCUUAUUUUAUUUUUAAAAUUUGUUUUAACUCAUUAAUUCUUUUUCUUGUUCUUGUUAAAGCGUUUAGUAAAUCAUAUGAUCAUCUGAUCAAAUCCCUAACGUUAACAUACCCAUAAUCUAUUAAUAAAAUUUAUUUGAUUUUAUAAUCAUUAAAUUGAAGAUUUGUUCAUGCAAUUUUGUAUGGUGACCAGCUUUCAUUUUUUUCUGUUAAACAUAAGAACAAUUUGUGCAUAACGUCCAGGUUGGAACUCGUAAUAACGAGGCAUCAUUUGUGGACAGAACAAAUGAAAUAACAAAAAAGCAUAAAUCAAGUCAUUAUUGAUCCUACUUUGAUGUUUAGUUUCUUUCUAAGAUGUCAUUCCUCAUUCAAGCUUUUGCUUUCUCUUUUAUCAGGCAUCUCACAAAGCUUUCUCUCUACUAAUAUGCUCUGCAUAUCAUUAGAACAUAUGAAAGCUUUUGCUUUCAAGCGCAAAAGGUAUUUAUUCGUUGAAAACUUUUAACUUGAUUAUUUCAUUAGAACAUAUGAAAUUAGUGCUUUCUUCAAGUUAAUUGAGUUGAACAACAUUUUUUAAAGUAUUUUACCCGAUCCAUUUCUUGUAUCUCACUGCAUGCCUUGUUAAAGAUUCGGCUUUUGGUCUUGAUUCUGAACUUCAAAAAUUAAAUCUUAAAACUCGGGUAUAAAAGGGGUGCAUGAUUAAGUCUUCUUCUUUUGCAAUUCAUUGUUAUUACACACAUCAACAUUUUACUAGGACAUUCGUCUGCAGUUAACAGUGAUCUUUUACUCAUUAAAAUUUUUCCUAAUAAUUUCUUUGAAUACCCGUUCUUACUUAAUAUUCAAUGCGAAUGGAGAAGCUCACCAAUUCUCUGAUCCCAGACAAUUAAAGAGGUACACAUGUUCUAAAUCAUCUAAUAAUAUCUUUUACUAGCAGUUCUUAAUUUCCAAGAAAAAAAUUUCUCUUGUUUGUUUUCAUCUUGUCAUUUAUUUUGCUUGAGUUUUAAGUUAUUGUUCAUUUGUAAUGUCUGUGUUCUUAUUAUUAGCUUUGGAUAAUUUGCAUCCAUUUUUCCCAAAAAAAAAAAAACAAUUAGAGAAAUUGUGGGCUUUUAUUCAGACCCCUGAAACCUUUCUGUUAAUAUAAAAACUCUAAUCCUUGAGCAAAAGGUGGUUAAAAAAAUAAAAGAAAAGAAUUCUCUGUUUAAAUAUCAGUUGGCUUAAGAUCAAUGUUGCUUGCCUCCUGUCUUUUCUUUGUUUUGUUUGUUUGUUUGUCAUUUUAUUAGAUUUGCUUUGUAUCUAAUUUUACUUGGAGAUUAAAGAUGAGUGAGAACUGCCCUUUCUUCUGAAGCAACCUACAAAUUUUAGAAUAGGGCCCAGAGUAUUAAAGAUUCAAUUAACCGCAAAAAGUUAUUUACUUGCAUCACUUGAAAAUUGAGCUGUUUACAUUAGAAAUUUUCAUGCAUUCACGAGCAAUAUCAUCAUGUCACAAGAUAGCCUGAAAAGCAAGUUUCCUCUGUUUUCGUUCCUUUGUUUUCAUUCCCCUGUUUAUUGAAUUUUUUUUUUUUGGCCGGAAAUUAAGAAGAAAAAAUUGGUAAAACAAGUUGCCUCUGUUUUCAUUCCCCUGUUUUUUGUGGAAAGAAUAAACCAAACUUUAAUUUUUUAUUUUAUUUUAUAUUUUGGUUUUUGAAUAUGCAUAAAUCAAAUCAUAUAUUAUUGAUCUUACUUCGGUUAUUUGCUGUUUAGUUUCUCUCUUAAAUGCUUUUUGUGUGUUUCCGGUAUUUGCUUUUAUAAAAGUUUUAGUCCCGAAUCAUUCGUUCAAGGAUUUGCUUUAUGUUUUAUUAGGCAUAUACAUUGCUCUGUCAAUCAAUAUUCAUUUCAAUUUCACAGUACACAAGCAAUGUAUAUACCAAAAUUACUCAAAACACAACAGGUAUUAUUCUAUGAAAACUUAAUUAUUUCUUUAGAAUAUAUGAAAACGUAGAGUUGUGAACUGGUGCUUUCUUCUUCAACAUGCGUCAACAGGGCAACAAUAACCAAAUACAUGAUAUAGAAAAGCGGUGCAUGACUAAUUCUUUUUCUUUUGCAGGUCUUUGUUAUUGCUCUCAUCAACUCUUUUCUCACACAUUCCUCAGCAGUUACCAGUGAUCUUUUUCCUCUUUCAACUUGUUCUUAAAUAUUGAAGGCCAAAUAGAGAAGCUCACCAACUCUCUAAUCCCAGAUAAUUAAAGAGGUGCACGAUUUCUAAAUCAUUGAAUUUUUUUUUUUUUUUGAUAGUAGAAUCCCUGAUCCUUGAUCUUGACAUCUGCUCUUUCUUAAGUUCCAUCUACUUUCCAAGAAAAAAUUUCCUCUGGUUUGUUUUAAUAUUGUAACUUAUUUUGCAUGAGUUUUAAGUUAGUAUUCAUUGUUAAAGCCUGUGCUCUUAUUAUUUCUUUUGGUUAAUUUGCAUGCUCUCCCCCCCCCCCCCCCAAAAAAAAAAGGUUAGAAAAAGAUUAUAGGCUUUUACUCAGACCCUUGAAACCUUUACUGAUAAUACCAAAAACUCUAAUCCUUCAACAAAAGAAAGCAAGAAAAAAAGGUCCUAAGUUUAUUGUCUUUUAUUGGCUUUGUACCAAAAACUCUGAUCUGUUGGCUUUGUAUCAGUAUUGCUUGUUUGUUGUCUUUUAUUUCAUUAUUUGUAUCUAAGUUUAUUUGAAGAAUACAGAUCAGCAGGAAAAGCCCUUUUUCUAAAGCUAACUAUACAGAUUUUAGAAUAGGGCUCAACCACAUGAAAAUAUUUACGUUGUAAUAUCUCAUAUUAAUAAUCUAAAAACAACCAAUCCAACAAGUUCAAAUUCAGUCAAAUCUUAAAAAAAAUUGCUUUUAAGGAGUACAUGAUAGCUAUUAAACUUUGGUUAAAGAUCUUUUGGGCAAACGUGAAAUUAAGUCAAUCAUAAAUCAACCAAUCCAACGAGUUCAAAUUCAUCACUUGCAAAAUUAAGUUUUCUUCCGAAAUUGAGUUGUUUCCAGUAGAAAUUUUCCCGCAGUCACGAGCACCAUCAUCAAAACAAGAUUAUUAAUAUAAGAACAAGAGUUGAGGAAAAAAAAAUAGUUAAAACAAGAUUCCUCUGUUUUCAUUCCCCUGUUUUUUUUCGUUUGGUGAUUGAAAAAUUUUAUCUCUAAACUUUUAUAAUUUUCCAUUAAGGUUUAUAUUUAAAUAAAGAGUUAAAAAAAUCUAAUUCUAAAUUUAUGGAUUGAAUGAUUAUUAUUAUAUUCUCUUAGAAUUGGUUACAAUAUCAAUUAAAUAACGAAUAGAGUUAUUGAUCACUUUGUUAAAAAUGAACAUGUGUUCUGUUUAUAUGAACACGGGCUGCACGCUUUAAGUCUUGUUCUUUUACAAUUCAAUUGUAUUGCUUACUCCCAUAAACUCUUUACUCACAUUCUUCUGCAGUUAACAGUGAUCUUUUGCUCAUUAAAAGUUUUCUUAUAAAUCGAAGGCCAAGAGUGAAGCUCAUAAACUCUGUGAUCCUAGAUAAUUGAAGAGGUGCGUUUGUUCUAAAUACUUUAAUAAUUUCUUUCAAUAGAAUAAUUUCUAAUCUUUGAUCUUGAUAGCAGUUGUUUCUUAAUGUCCAACAAAAACUAUCUCUUGUUUGUCUUAAUCUUGUCAUUUAAUUUUCUUGAGUUUUAAGUUACUGUUUAUUGUUAACUUCUGUGUUCUUUUGCAGUAUUAUUAAUGGUUAAUUUGCAUCCAUCUUCCAAAAAAGUUUUCUUUCCUCAAAAAAUUGUUGGUUUUCCAUUCAGGCCCCUGAAACCUUUUUCUAAAAAGUUGUUUGUUGUCGUUUCUUUCUUUUUCUUCCCCGGUAGUUCAUUUAAUUUAUUUGAAUCCAUUUUUUUUUCAACAGCCAAAAACUAGAUAUAUAUUGUUAAGCAACCGGCAAUGGCUAUAGAAGCGUGUCUGGCUUUUUUAACCAACUGCGUAUCAGAAGGUGCAAAGUCACUGUUCAACCCGAUUACACGGCAGAUAUCUUAUGUGUUCAAGUACCAGAGCUAGGCUACAAGGGGAUGAGCUUUAUGAGGGUGUCACAGACUGGCUACAUAGCAUUGAUGAAUUCAUCAGUGAAGGAGUUGCAAAAUCCAUCAUUGAUGAUGAAGAAAGAGCUAAGAAGUUCUGCUUCAAAGGAUUGUGCCCAAAUUUGAUGUCCCGUUACAAGCUUAGUAAACAAGCAGCAAAGGCCGCAGAAGCUGCCGCUGGUCUCGUGGGAAAAGGCAACUUCUCUAAUGUUUCCUACCGUCCUACUCCAAAGAGCACAGGACUUAAUGACGGGAAAGAUAACGAGGCCUUUGAUUCAAGAAUGAAAGUAUUUCAGGAUGUUAUGGAGGCGUUGAAGGAUGAUAAGCUCAACAUAAUUGGGGUCUACGGCAUGGGCGGCGUGGGUAAAACCACGCUAGUCAAGCAAGUUGCUAAGAAAGUGAAGGAAGAUAAGUUGAUCGAUAAGGUCAUUAUGGCUGAGGUAACACAGAACCCAGAUCCCCAGAAAAUUCAAGACAAGCUCGCUUCUGAUUUAGGCAUGAAAUUUGACUUGAAUGAUAGUAUACACCAUAGAGCUUCUCGACUGCGUGAAAGGUUGAAGCAAGAGAAGCGGGUCCUCAUUAUAUUGGACAAUAUUUGGACAAAACUUGAGUUAGAUGCGGUUGGAAUUCCUUCUGGAGAUGUUGAUGAGAAAGAUAGAGAGGAUGUCAAGAUUGGGUGUCUUGAUAUUCAAAGUUUGAAUAUCAAAAUCAAACUUCUAGAUAUUCAAACUUUGAAUAUCAAAUUCAAAAUUCUAGAUAUUCAAAGUUUGAAUAUCAAACUUUGAAUUUUGAAAUUUUGAACAAUAAUAAAUAAUUAAAAAAAUACGUGAAUAGUAGCCAAGAUUUUGGCUAUAAAUAGAGGGACUCAUUCCCUCAUUUGUUCAUCCAAUUUUGAGAAGAGUUUUCUUGUAUUUAGAGAGAGUUUAGAGAGCUUGAAAUUAUAAGCUUUUGUUUUAGUGUUUUGAGAGUUUGGGUGUAUUGGGAUUUUGGGAAGUGAGCUAAAAUACUACAAUACUUGUAACUCCUUUUCACUAGUAAAAUAUUUCCUUCUGUCUUCGCCCGUGGACGUAGGCUAAAAGUCGAACCACGUAAUUUCUAGUGUCCUCUUUUGUGCUUGUUCUUUAUUUUCUUCCAAUUUUACUUUAGCUGCGUGUCUGCUUCACCCACCAAUUUCCUAACAGUGGUAUCAGAGCUAUUGGUUGUAUUUUUGGAGUCGGGUACUGUUCACGUAAGGGGUACUAUUCACGUAUACGGUACUAUUCAUAAGAAACGGUGGGAGCGAUCCAAGAAUUUUGUGGUGUAAAGCAGGGAAUAGUGGUGUGAGUAAAACAACUGUGUGGUUUUGUACAUGUCUAGGAAAGUUUUGUCACAAAGGCGAUAAGAGCUUAAGGAGUCUGGGUUUUAAGUAGGACCAUUGUGACCCCUCCAGUCUUUCUUGGGAACUUUCCUGGUGUACAUUCUCACACAUACUCACAACUAUUCAAGGAGGUACACUAGCUUGUGUGCGGUAUUUAUCAACAAAAUGGCGGCAAAGUAUGAAAUUGAGAAGUUUAACGGAAAUAAUUUUUCGUUGUGGAAAAUGAAGAUGAAAGCUGUAUUGAGGAAAAAUAAUUGCUUGGCAGCAAUUGGAGAAAGGCCCACGGAGAUAACUGAUGACAAGUGGAACGAGGUAGACGGCAACACCAUUUCUGAUCUACACUUGGCACUUGCAGACAGAGUAUUAUCCAGUGUGGCAGAGAAAAACACAGCGAAGGAAAUAUGAGAUACUCUCACAAAAUUGUACGAGGCCAAGUCACUACACAACAAAAUCUUCUUGAAGAGAAAACUCUAUACUCUUCGAAUGGCGGAAUCUACAAUGGUGACCGACCACAUCAACACCUUGAAGACUCUAUUUUCACAAUUCACAACGUUGAGUCAUAAUAUAGAGGAAAAUGAACGUGCAGAGCUUCUACUUCAAAGUCUACCAGAUUCAUAUGAUCAACUCAUCAUCAACCUGACAAACAACAAUCCAGCGGACAGUCUAGUUUUCGACGAUGUUGCAGCCUCCGUAUUAAAUGAGGAGAGCAGGCAGAAAAAUAAGGAAAACAGACAAGCAAGUUCGCAGCAAGUGGAGGCACUAUCAGUGACGAGAGGGAGAUCAACGGAACUUGGCCCCAGUGGGAGUCAAAAUCAGGGUAGAUCAAAAUCCAGAAGUAAAAUGUUAAAUGCUACAAAUGUGGCAAUUAAGGGCACGUCAAGAAAGAAUGUUGGAGUAACUAGAAGAGAAAAGAGGGCAAAGAACCUGAGUCAUCAAAUGCUCAAGGUUGUGUAGCAAGUACCUCGGAUGAUGGCGAAAUUCUUUACAGCGAGGCAACAACUGUUUCAGAAGGCAGAAAACGACUUUCUGAUGUCUGGCUUAUAGACUCAGGAGCUACCUGGCACAUGACCUCUGGGAGAGAAUGGUUCCACACAUAUGAACCUAUCUCAGGAGGAUCUGUAUAUAUGGGAGAUGAUCAUGCCUUGGAGAUCGCCGGUAUUGGUGCUAUCAAAAUAAAAAUGUUUGAUGGUACAAUUCGCACAAUUGGAGAGGUACGACAUGUCAACGGCCUGAAGAAAAAUCUAUUGUCUUUGGGACAAAUGGAUAGUCAUGGGUACAAAACUCAUGUGGAGAAUGGAAUAAUGAAGAUCGUUAAAGGCGCGCUUGUAUUGAUGAAGGCAGAAAAGAUCGGUGCUAAUUUAUUCAUGCUUAAAGGAGAAACACUACAGGAGGCUAAUGCGUGUGUCGUGUCAAAUGGAGAAGAAUCAACGAUGAUGUGGCAUCUCAAACUUGGCCACAUGUCAGAACAAGGCUUGAAGAUUCUCUCUGAGUGAAAAUUGCUUCCGGGGCUCAAAUCGGUAAGUUUACCAUUUUGCGAGCAUUGUGUUACAAGUAAGCAGCAUAGAUUAAAAUUCAGUAGAUCUAUUGCUAGAAGUAAAUGCAUUUUAGACUUGAUCCAUUCUGAUGUUUGGGAAUCACCGAAUAUAUCCAUGGGAGGUGCAAAGUACAUGGUGACUUUCAUUGAUGAUUAUUCCAGAAGAUGUUGGGUGUAUCCAAUUAAGAAAAAGUCAGAUGUAUUUCCUGUGUUUAAAGAAUACAAAGCGCGGGUGGAACUUGAAUCUGGUAAAAAGAUCAAGUGCUUGAGGACAGAUAAUGGUGGAGAGUAUACAGACGGUGAGUUUCUUGCUUUCUGUAAGCAAGAGGGUAUUCAGAGGCAAUUCACGGUGGCAUACACUCCUCAACAAAACGGAGUGGCAGAGCGGAUGAACAGAACUCUUACAGAAAGAAUAAGAGCUAUGUUGAGGACUGCUGGUCUACCCAAUUCAUUCUGGGCAGAAGCAGCCAAAACUGCCUGUUAUAUAGUAAAUCGGUCGCCAUCUACAACUAUUGGGUUGAAGACGGCGAUGGAGAUGUGGACUGGAAAGCCAGCUGAUUAUUCCUACCUACAUGCAUUUGGAUGUCCUGUGUACGUGAUGUACAAUGCCCAAGAAAGAACAAAGCUGGAUGCAAAAUCUAGAAGAUGUAUCUUCUUGAGGUAUGCUGAUGGAGUAAAGGGGUAUCGUUUGUGGGACACCACUGCCCACAAGAUCGUCAUCAGCAGAGAUGUUAUUUUUGUAGAAGAUCAACUGCAAAGAAAAGAUGGAGAUGAUGACACUGUAAAAGAAAAGUCAGAGACUGUGCCGGUAUAUGUCGAAAAUAAUCCAGAAGAUUCAGAUUCUUUUGAAGCAGCACUAGAGCACGAAGAACAAGAACCAGUCGAGUCUGAGGCUCCAGAAGUUCGUCGGUCAACUCGUGAGAGACGACCGCCGGUGUGGCACUCGGAGUAUGUCACAGAGAUCAACGUUGCAUACUAUCUUCUAACAGAGGAUGGAGAGCCUUCAACUUUCCAUGAAUCUUUAAACAGCUCAGAUGUUGCUUUGUGGAUGACAGCAAUGCAGGAAGAAAUUGAAGCUCUAUACAAGAACAAGACAUGGGAACUUGUACCACUACCACACGGAAGAAAAGCCAUUGGAAACAAAUGGGUCUACAAGAUCAAACGUGAUGGCAAUGAUCAAGUGGAGCGGUAUCGUGCGAGAUUGGUGGUGAAAGGAUAUGCUCAGAAAGAAGGUAUUGACUUCAACGAGAUAUUUUCUCCGGUGGUUCGACUCACAACAGUCAGAGUAGUCUUGGCGAUGUGUGCUACAUUUGACUUACAUCUUGAGCAGUUGGAUGUGAAAACUGCAUUUCUUCAUAGAGAACUUGAAGAAGAAAUAUAUAUGCUCCAACCAGAAGGUUUUGUAGAAAUAGGAAAUGAGAACUUGGUUUGCAGGUUGAACAAAUCUCUAUACGGUCUCAAACAGGCGCCGAGGUGUUGGUAUAAGAGAUUUGAUUCCUUCAUCAUGAGCCUUGGAUACAACAGACUCAGUUCAGACCAUUGUACAUAUUAUAAAAGGUUUGAAGAUAAUGAUUUCAUCAUUUUGUUGUUGUAUGUGGAUGACAUGUUGAUAGCAGGUCCCAACAAAGAUCGAAUCCAAGAAUUGAAGGCACAGUUGGCUAGGGAGUUUGAAAUGAAGGACUUAGGACCAGCAAACAAGAUUCUAGGGAUGCAAAUUCACCGAGACAGAAAUAACAAGAAGAUUUGGCUUUCACAGAAGAACUACUUGAACAAAAUCUUGCGGCGCUUCAACAUGCAAGAUUGUAAGUCAAUUUCUACCCCACUUCCUGUUAAUUUCAAAUUAUCCUCAAGUAUGUGUCCUAGCAAUGAAGCAGAGAGGAAGGAGAUGUCUCGAGUACCGUAUGCAUCAGCAGUGGGAAGUUUAAUGUUCGCUAUGAUAUGUACAAGACCGGACAUUGCACAAGCAGUGGGAGCAGUCAGUCGAUACAUGGCGAAUCCUGGUGGAGAGCAUUGGAUAGCUGUGAAGAGGAUUCUGAGAUACAUCAGAGGAACCUCAGAUGUUGCAUUAUGUUAUGGAGGAUCAGAGUUUAUUGUCAGGGGCUAUGUGGAUUCAGAUUUUGCAGGUGAUCUUGAUAAAAGAAAAUCCACUACUGGUUAUGUGUUUACACUUGCGGGAGCAGCUGUAAGUUGGGUUUCGAAGCUGCAGACUGUUGUGGCUUUAUCUACAACAGAAGCAGAAUACAUGGCAGCUACACAAGUUUGCAAGGAAGCUAUUUGGAUACAAAGGUUAUUGGAGGAGUUCGGGCACAAACAAUAGAAAAUUCCUGUGUUUUGUGACAGUCAGAGUGCCUUGCACAUUGCAAGGAAUCCAGCCUUUCAUUCCAGGACAAAGCACAUAGGAGUUCAGUAUCACUUCGUUCGAGAAGUAAUGGAAGACGGAAGUGUGGAUUUACAGAAAAUCCAUACGAAGGAGAACCUAGCAGAUGUUUUGACCAAGCCGAUAAAUGCUGACAAGUUUAUCUGGAGUAGAUCCUCUUGUGGCCUAGCAGAAACGUAAGUAACCUGACAAUGGCGAAGCAGAAAGGAUGGUGUGGAGAUUGAUUGGUUCUCAAUCAAAUCUCCAAGUGGGAGAAUGUCAAGAUUGGGUGUCUUGAUAUUCAAAGUUUGAUUUUGAAAGUUUGAAUAUCAAAAUCAAACUUCUAGAUAUUCAAAGUUUGAAUAUCAAACUUUGAAUUUUGAAAUUUUGAACAAUAAUAAAUAAUUAAAAAAAUACGUGAAUAGUAGCCAAGAUUUUGGCUAUAAAUAGAGGGACUCAUUCCCUCAUUUGCUCAUCCAAUUUUGAGAAGAGUUUUCUUGUAUUUAGAGAGAGUUUAGAGAGCUUGAAAUUAUAAGCUUUUGUUUUAGUGUUUUGAGAGUUUGGGUGUAUUGGGAUUUUGGGAAGUGAGCUAACAUACUACAAUACUUGUAACUCCUUUUCACUAGUAAAAUAUUUCCUUCUGUCUUCGCCCGUGGACGUAGGCUAAAAGUCGAACCACGUAAUUUCUGGUGUCCUCUUUUGUGCUUGUUCUUUAUUUUCUUCUAAUUUUACUUUAGCUGCGUGUCUGCUUCACCCACCAAUUUCCUAACAGAGGAUGAUCAGAGAAGAUGCACAAUAAUAUUGACGUCUAGAAGUCGAGAUUUAUUGUGCAUUGAUAUGAAUUGUCAGAAAAUUUUCUGGAUCGAUGCUUUAUCGAAAGAAGAAGCAUUGCAGUUAUUUGAGAAGAUAGUGGGUGAUUCAACUAAAAUAUCUUAUUUUCAAAGUAUAGCAAAUGAGAUCGUUGAAAAAUGCGGAGGUUUGCCUGUUGCACUGAGUACAGUUGCAAAUGCUCUGAAAAAUAAGGAGCGUUACUUUUGGCAAGAUGCAUUGAAUCAGCUAACAAGAUUGGAUGCAACAGAAAUUCAUGGCAUGCAAGCAAAUGUGUACACCUCCAUAAAAUUGAGUUAUGACUUCUUGGAAAGUGCGAAGGCAAAAUCUCUGUUCCGUCUUUGUGGUCUGUACAGUGAAGGUGAUGCCAUAGAAGUUUCUGACUUAUUGAGAUAUGGUGUGGGUUGGGAUUUGUUUGAAAAUGUUUACACAUUAGAAGAAGCAAGGAGUAGAGUGCAUCGGUUGAUCGACAAUCUCAAAUCUUCAUGCUUAUUGUUGGACGGUGAUGCUGAAGAUGAAGUUAAAAUGCAUGACGUCAUUCAUGUUGUUGCUGUAUCAAUUGCUGCAGGGGAGCGCAUGUUUAAUAUUCCAAAUGUUGCUAACGUGGAGAAAAAGAUGGAAAAGACAAUACGGAAAGACCCAAUUGCCAUUUCAUUACCCCAGAGAGAUAUUCAAGAGCUCCUGAAAGGUUGCAAUGUCCCAAUCUCCAGUUAUUUUUGUUGUCUGCAGAGGGUAAUGCCCCUAUGCAAAUUUCAGACCUCUUUUUUGAAGGGACGGAAGAACUCAAAGUUUUAAGUCUUAUUGGAAUUCAUUUCUCUUCAUUAUCUUCAUCACUUGGUCACCUCAUUAACCUUCAAACAUUGUGUUUAGACUGCUGCCAACUAGAAGAUGUAGCGGCAAUUGGACAGCUAAAGAAAUUAGAGAUUCUUAGCUUUCGAUAUUCCGACAUUAAGCAGUUGCCACUUGAAAUUGGUCAAUUGGCGCGGUUACAGUUGCUAGAUUUGAGCAAUUGUAGAAGCCUUGUAGUGAUAGCACCAAAUGUCAUAUCAAAAUUUUCUCGAUUGGAAGAACUAUAUAUGGGUGACAGCUUUUCGCAGUGGGAUAAGGUUGAAGGAGGAAGUAACGCCAGUCUUGCUGAAUUGAAGGGGUUGUCAAAGCUAACUACCUUGGAGAUACAAGUUCGGGAUGCCCAAAUUCUGCCGCAGGAUUGGGUCUCUGUGGAAUUGCAAAGAUAUAAGAUAGGUAUAGGAGAAGCGUGGCGCAUGUGACGCGUUAAUUCUGAAACAUCAAGAUUGGUGGAGCUCCAAGGGCUAGAAAAUGUUAGCACUCUUUUGGAGAAUUAUGGGACUAAAAUGUUGCUGAAGAAAACUGAAGAUAUCCAUCUAAACGAACUGAAGGGUGCUCAGAAUGUUGUUCAUGAAUUAGAUGAUGGGGAAGGUUUUCCACGAUUGAAGCAUCUUUCUGUAGAAAGAUGUUCUGAGAUUUUGCAUGUUGUCGGUUCAGUUGGACGGGUUCAUUGUACAAUCUUUCCCUUGUUGGAGUCAUUGUCUCUUUGGUUUUUGAGCAAGUUGGAGACAAUAUGUGACAGCCAACUCACAGAAUAUCAAAUUUUCAGCAACUUAAGGAUUAUAGAAGUACAAUUCUGUGACAAAUUGAAGCAUCUUUUCUCAUUCUCCAUAGCCAAAAACCUACUGCGGCUUCAAAAGGUAGAAGUGGAUGUUUGCGAUGAUCUGGAAAUGAUGGUUGGUAAGAGUUGAAAUUAAGUGUUGGUGGGUUUAUGGACUUCGCCUCAAUUAUUUUGAAAAAAAAAAAAAAACAACGACAAAGAUUAAUUAUGUAUAUUGUUUUUGUUUGUUUAUAGGACCCGACAGGGAGAAACCAACAACUUCUUUGGGAUUCAACGAAAUCAUUGCUAAUGAUGAUCCUGCUCCAAAGGUGAUAAUUUUCUGAUCAAUAAUUAAUUGAUUAAUUUAUUAUCACGAUUAAUCUUCGAUCAUCAAAAGAAUAUUAUACUAGACGGUUGUACUUGAAGGAACAAAAAUGUACGGGUUUUCUUUGCAGGUUAUUCUUCCGAGCUUAGAGGAAUUGAAUCUCAGGGACUUAAGAAACAUGAAAAAAUUAUGGGCCGAUCAUAAUCAAGGAAUGUACUGUUGUCAAAAUUUAACAAAGCUGUACGUGAGCAGUUGUCAUCGUAUGAAGUAUCUGUUUUCGUAUUCUAUGGUUAAUAGUCUUGCGAAACUCCAACAUCUUGAGAUAAGCACUUGUUGGUCAAUGGAAAGGGUAGUCGACACCACGGGGUGGUCAGAAAGAGAUGAAGGAAAGUUGAUUGAAUUAAAGGUUUUUCCUAAACUACACUUCCUGCGGCUCGAGAAUCUUCCAGAACUAACAAGCUUUGCCAAUACGGGACAUAUUCAUUCAGAUUUAGUUGUUGAAUUCCCUUCUUUGCUAAGCCUCGAGAUUGAUACUUGCAGUAAUAUGUUAAGAUUCAUCUCUACGAGCUCACCAGAAGACACCAUUCAUUCUGAAAUGCAACCUCCUCCUCUCUUUGACGAAAAGGUUUCUUUUUUUUUUAAUAAAAAAAUUAAUUUUAGUCACAAUAUUUAAUUUGUCUUUUCCUUGAGUCUUCAAAUUUAGUUAAUAUCCACCUCAAAUUUAGUUAUCAAUUGAUUAUGCCAUUAAUUGAUUAAUUAGUUAUUUAAUCUUUAACUGCCAGGUACGACUUCCUGGGUUGGAGGUAUUACAUAUUAGGUCGAUGGAUAAUUUGAGAAAAAUAUGGCACCACCAGCUUGCUUCGGAGUCUUUCAGAAUAUUUUUCCUCCAUUGGUAAGGUUGCUGUAUUCAUUUCGAAUCUUUUUUUUUUUCAAAUUACAUCCAACAAUAUUUUAACCAUUUUUUGUUUACAAAUGAUAUUCAGCCACUGAUUAUUUAUUUCAAGUAUCGUACUUCGAACCACCACUCUGAAAUCUACGUUUUAAGUCCAGUUUUUAGGUUCGUCAGCAUUAGAAUCAACAAUAUAAAUUUUUUAAACACGAUUCAACAGCAUAAUAUAAUUCAAUUAAAUAGAUUUUGCUCAUAUCUUAAUAAGUACGAUUUUCAAAAAUUAAAGGAUAGUCACUCAUCUUAUAGGUUCACAAAUUCAUCUAUAUAUUUCUCUUUUCCUUAAUUCUUCACAUUUCGAUUGGAAAAAGAAAAAAAGAAAAUAAAAGUCUUCAAAUUUAAUUAAUCUCUUGUUUAGUUACGAAUUGAUUAUGCCAUUAAUUAACCACAAAUUCAUGAUUAUUUACAACUGACCCGUGAUUGUAAAGAAAUUUCCUUGAGUCUGGAAGUACUUAAUAAAGAUCCACUUUACAGCAGCAGUCCCUUGUUGACAAUAUUGGGAAGUCUUUUCCAAUUUUUUUUUCCAUUUUUAAAUGUACAUAAAAAAAGGGACCAAGGAAAAGGGAAAAGGCGGCAUUUUGGUUGAAUUUUUUUUCCCUAAAAGGAAUAGUUGAAAUUUGUAAAUUUAUGCUUAAAAACUGAUAUCAAGAUGCAAAAUAAGUCUAAUAUAUUUAGAAAUUGCCUUAAAUUCUUUCUACGUUCCUAAUAGUAAAUAGUGUAAAUGCAUUUUUAUUAUCUUUGUUUAUCUGGCUUUUAUUUAUUCAUUUAUCUUGUUGCUUUUUUUGUUUAACAAAAAAUUAUCUAGUUGAAUGAUAUUCUUACAUUUUUACUUUUUUAAUAUACACACAUAUGCACACACUUUUGUUUAUUUUCAGGUUGGAAUUCCUAGUAGUCUGGUGAAUCUUAAUGUAUCGAAUUGCCAAAAAUUAGAAGAAAUAGUAGGACAUGUUGGAGAAGAAGUGAAGGAGAAUCGUAUUGCUUUCCGCGAAUUAAAAGUUUUGAUACUUGAUUAUUUACCAAGGCUUACCAGCUUUUGUUUGGAGAAUUAUACUCUUGAAUUCCCAUCAUUGGAACGAGUUUCUGUGACACAUUGUCCGAACAUGAAGACUUUUUCUCAGGGAAUCUUAUCCACACCAAAGCUAUACAAAGUGCAAGUUAGUAAAAAGGAAGAGGGUGAAUUGUACCAUCGGGAAGGCAAUAACCUUAAUUCCUUUAUACAAAAGAGCUACGAAGAAAUGGUAUGUGCUAAUCGAUUCGUCCAAAUUACUUGCACAUUUAAAAAUAUGUUACAAAAAGAUGGUCUGUGUUAAUCGAUUCACCCAAAUUGUUCAUGCAUCUCCCCUACGCUUGCACAUUUAAACAUAUACACCUACCUUGUAUAUGUAGUUUUAGAAGUUAAAACACAAAACAUGUAAGUUUAAUAUGUGUGUGUGUAUAUAUAUACAUAUAUAUAUAUCUAAUGCCUUUCAAAAAAAGAAAUUUAUAUAUCCAGUGCAAUUGUUUUGGUUUAUGCAGAUUGGAUUCCGUGACAUAGAGCAUUUGCAACUCUCACAUUUUCCACGCUUGAGAGAAAUAUGCCAUGGCCAAGCACUGCCUGUCAGCUUCUUCAACAAUUUAUUUAAGCUGGUGGUGGAUGACUGCACGAAUAUGUCGAGUGCUAUUCCUGCCAAUCUGAUACGGUGCUUGAACAAUUUAAGGUACCUAGAAGUGAGGAAUUGUGAUUCACUAGAAGAGGUGCUUCAUUUGGAAGAGCUAAGUCCUAAGGAAGAACAUAUCGGCCCCCUGUUUCCUAGGCUUUUUAGCCUAAGGCUCAUUGAUCUUCCAAAACUCAAAAGAUUCUGCAACUUCACUGGGAAUAUAAUUGAACUGCCUUGGUUGUCGACGCUGACUAUUGAGAAUUGCCGAGAUAUAGAAACAUUCAUAUCCAACGCUGUAGUGCACGUGACAACAGAUAACAAGGAACCUCAAAAAUUAAAAUCAGAAGAGAACCUCUUGGUAGCUAAUCAAAUACAACAUCUCUUCGAUGAAAAGGUAAUCAUUAUUAUUAUUUUUUCCCUUCACUUUCAUUCGGACAGAUGUAAUUUCAUUAGAAUCAAAUCAAAUUUAAUGACUCAUCUUUUUGCACGUCGUCUUAAUUUAUAUCUGAUUUAACAAUAUAACCGUAGUUAUUAACUAACUUUAUAGUAUGAAUUAUAAAAAUGUCUCAAAUUAAUUAGAUGCCUAGUGACAGGAGGUGAUGAACUAUAUCGAUUAUGCGUGUUACAUCUCUGUUUUCCUAACUAAUUCAUAUUGGAUUUAGGAUCAGAUUUCAUUUGUGUUUUAAAGGGUAAUCGAUUUGAUACUUAUAUUUGGGAUCCUACUGCAAAGCAUACUAAUUUGGAAAUAAAAUAUAAAAUGCCGUGAUUAAUCUUGUCCAUAAAAUAUGCAGGGGAAGACUGCAGAGAUUGGAUACAUAUUUUCAUUUACAACUUAAUUUUGUUGAUUUUUAGGUUGCAUUCCCUCAAUUGAGAUAGUUAAACCUGUCUAGAUUACACAAAGUGCAGCAUCUCUGGAAGGAAAAUGACGAAUCCAACAAAGCGUUUGCAAACUUGGAAAGUCUAGAAAUAUCAUAAUGUAGUAAGUUGCAAAAAUUAGUACCACCUUCGUGGCAUUUGGAAAAUCUGUGGGAACUAGAAGUAUCGAAGUGUCACGGGUUGAUAAAUGUGUUGACGCUCUCAGCAUCUAAAAAUCUAGUGAAUCUUCGAGGAAUGAAGAUAGCUAAUUGCAAAAUGAUAGAACAAAUCAUACAAUUGCAGGUUGGAGAAGAAGCGAAAGAUUGCAAUGUUUUCAAGGAAUUGGAGUACUUGGGACUUGAUUAUUUGCCAAGCCUAACAAGCUUUAGUUUGGGUAAUUACGCUCUUGAAUUCCCGUCCUUGAAACAAGUAGUUGUGAGACAGUGUCCAAAAAUGAAGAUCUUCUCUCAAGGAGUCUUAGACACACCAAUGCUAAACAAAGUGAACGUCACCGAAGAAGAAAAAGAUGAUGAUGAAGAAGAUGAUGAUGAUGAAGGAUGUUGGGAAGGCAACCUCAAUGACACCAUAAAAAAAUUGUUCAAUGAAAUGGUGAGUAUCAAUUAAGUUUUGGUGCUAUUUAACAAAUUAUUUUAUAGAAACUAAUGUGAUAUAAUAUGAUGGGUUGACUGAAAAUAUAUAAUAAUAAUAAAUAAAUAAAUAAAUAAAUUAUAAGGGCCAUGUUAUGUUUUUGUUUAACCAAUCAUAUUAUGUCGCAUUAGUUUAUACAAUAUUGUUUGUGUACAGGAGGUGGUGGUCGUAUCAUUACUCUUGCUCUAUUAUUAUUAUGGUUGUAAUGUAUGCUUGCUUACACGAGUAAUUGCAAAAUGUGCAGAAUUCUAAAGAAAAGAUUGAGCCAACCCUUCAGGUACAGUGAAGAAGCUAUCUCGAACUAGGCCAAUCUCUUGUACAUGAUUCAACUUGCUCGUUCUCCUGUACUUGAAUAAUUUGGUUCUAAACGCAUUUACAAA
rnacentral:lncRNA from 1 species